rnacentral:lncRNA from 1 species
AGACGCCCCGUCAUCCCGAUCUCCAUCGGCAUGGUGGACUUCCUAGAAGCACUCUGCGACUUUGGCUCCAGUGUCAACAUUACGCCCAGGGUACUCUAUGAAAAAUUCUUUACACAUCCUUUAUUAGAAACAGCCAUGUGUUUGCAGCUUGCAGAUCGUACGCUAAGUUUCCCAAAGGGAAUAUUGAAGAACCUCUGUGUCCAAGUUUGUACCUUGUACGCCCCAGCAGACUUCGUGGUGAUAGAGACUAGUAUUGAUGAGAGGGCACCCAUCAUCCUAGGGAGGCCAUUCCUGAACACCUCAGGAGCUGUCAUCUACGCUAGUGCUGCCAAGAUCAGUUUCUACAUCGAGGGGAGGAAGGAGACGUUUUCCUUCAAGAACAAGACUACACAAGUCUCAGAGCAAUCCCGACAUGAACCAAGGAAGAGGACCAACCGGAGGAACAGGAACAAGCAAGUGUGGACCAAGUCAGCUAAGAUGGUCACUACAGCUCAAGGAGGUCAAGAUCGUCAACUCAAGUUGUCUUUCUUGAUCAAGAAGGAUGACGCUGGUGUUCCAAGCAUCGAGUGCAAAAUCAAUGGAUAUUUUUCAGAAGACACUCUACGACACCAGAUCUGACGUCAACAUAAUGGCUGCAGUCACUUAUCAGCUCCUGCAUGGAACCAUGCCCCUACAACCGACAUACAUUCAGCUCCAGAUGGCAGAUCAGACAUUCUGAAAGGUUGAAGACGAGUAUGAUCCACCCAUCAUCCUUCGAAGACCGUUCCUUAGCACCGUUAAAGCAAUCAUCUAUAUUGGAACCAGAGAAGUCCACAUGCACUUCCCCUCUGACAAGGUACGCUGCUAUUUUACUGACCUUAACUAUAUAGUUGAAGACUCUAAGCAGGUCAGGACAAGAAGAAGACGACGCAACCGCAACCAGAGUAGGCAAAUUAUCAAGGACGAAUGGGCGGAUUAUGAAGGAGAAGUGGUAAGGUCUGAAGACAUACAACUUGAACAGAACUGUCCUGAGGAGACCGUAGCACUAUGUCAGGUGUGGAGAGAGAAGAUAGUUAUACAGGAAGACCAGGCGCUGCCGGAACCACUGACUACGCCAUCCAGCGAAUCCCAGGACAACUGAGAAAAUAGAGAGUCCCGUUCGGAGGACUUAAAAACACCGAACGCCUUGGUAAGAGUUAAACUUGGUAGUUAUUCUUUUUCCCUUUCAAUUAUUUAAAAUAGUUUGCUUAGUUAAUCAGGUUCAUAUCAUCUUAAAAAGAAAAUAAAAAUGUUAAAAAUAGUAAGCCCCAUGUGAGUAUGCUCAUGGCAUAAAACCCAUAAGUACAUUCACUGUGGUGGCAUAAAAAUAAAAUAAAUAUAUUCCUGUCCUAUAAAAAUAAAAUUAUGAUCCUACUAAUGAGUAACAUUUAUUGAGGAGGCUCAACAUGAUAAAGGCUAGAUAUUUAUGCUAACACUUAACUUGUUCCACAAAGCUUUGUUGUCUAUUUGAGCUCCACAGAAUUCAAGGAUCAAAGAAGACUAGGAGACGAAGGACAUCCUAAUCGCUGUCAGAGUGCUGCCGAUAUUCAAAUACACCUCCGCCACCUGCUAGCUACAUUAGAAGAAAUUAUGUCAAAAUCCAGCUUGGGGGAGAGCACCCCCAUUUAUCCAGCUAAGUGUUCUACUCACGUUUAUACUUUACUCAAAUAAUAAAAAGAUGCAUAAUCAUAAAAACCCAAAUAAAGAUUUUAUGCUUAUAUAUAUAUCUUUGCUUAGUUUGCUAAAUAAAAAAAUAAUAAAUCAAGAUAAGUAUUAUUUUUCUUUCUUAGUUUUAUUUACUAGUAUUCGGAAAUAAAAAAAUGCAUAACCAUGAAACCAAACACAGUUUUUGUUUUGAGUAAUAUAUAAUAGUUUUAUGUAAUACUAAGUUUUAAAUAAAAUAAAAAGAAAGUUUGAUUCAAGUCUAGGUAAUUGACAAACAUGAUAUGAGAAGGUCUGAGCUACUAUUUAACUUGUUCCAAGUUUUGCUAGAGUUCUGGAGAUUUUAUCUUUUGAAAAUCUAAAAAUUCAUAAAAAAAAUAUAUGAGAUCAUAAUACCUAGAGUCUUAUAAGAAAUAAAUAUUAAAACUGUGGGUACUUUCUUUGUUCAAGCCAUUGUUAAUUCUUGUAGUUUUGGUUGAGAGAAUUAUCAUGCUCCCAAGAUCAAGAUCUUUUUGUUUUAAAAAUAUAAAAGAUUCACUCUUCCGAAGUAUUAUUGCGUUAGAGGCAUGGGACUAUGCAAAAAUUUGAUUCGAAAAAAAAAGAGUGAGACGAGAGGUAAAAAUGGACAAGUGUCCGAAGUAGAAUUAGGGGUACAAAGAUACCCACCUGAGUGGAAAAAAAAUGGACAUGUGUCCGACAGUAGAAUUAGGGGUACUUGCUGCCCACUUGAAAAAAAGAGACUAAAAAAAGAGAGAAAAAAAAGGAAAAAAAAUGAUUGCCCAUGGUCCCUCUAAUAAGCAAUAUGCCAGUAAGAGAUGACAAACUCUUCAAAAGGUCAAAGGUCUUGAUCUAGGAGUAUGACAUUCCUCUCCCUUGCUCCGAGCAUUGACAUAGCAAAAUGCAAAGUAAGUAUGCUAAAAUUUUUAAAGCUCUACUUAUAUAUCUUUCGAGAAGAAGGCAAAUGCCUCAGAUUUAUUUUCGAAACUUACAAACAACUCCAGAACAAAGGUAAGACAGAAGAACUUGAGACAUAGUGCUUGACUUGAUCAUUCUGUUUUUCAAUCACUUAAGACCUUAGUGAUAACUUAAAACCCCUUUAGUAAAAGGCAUAAAAGUAACCCCUGUUUUCUUGAUGAUUUUAGCUUUGCUCAGGGACGAGCAAAGGUUAAGCUUGGGGGAGCUUGUUGACGGUCCUUAAAGCUCACAUUUGACCAUUGAUUAAUCAUGGAAAAGGAUCCAAAUGCAACCAACACCCAGACUUAGGGUUUUAUCUGACAGAAUUCCAUGAGUUUUGGUGUUUGUCUAUUUCUACAGGGGGUUAUUAGGAAAUACGGAAGAAAGGCCCACACGUCGGGUUUACAUAGAGAUAUUAACGUGCCGCGUAAUUUUCUAUCAUCUAGAAGACUCCAGAAGCCUCGGGACCGAAGCGGAAGACGAGAGGCCUCAGGGUCAGGGCGCCCGCCCUAGUCCUGAGGGCGCCCGCCCUCCCCCCUGGACCAAUCAGGGUGAAUUUCGGGGAUCAUGCUCCACCGACCUAAUACUUCAAGGAAAACCACACGAUCAAUGUCGGUUUGAUCCGACGGCCCAGAUUCACUUGAAGGGACUAUAAAACCAGACCCCCCUGGCCCCUGGAGAGCAUACCUCUUCUACAGAAUCAAAGUUAGGGUUUCAAUUCUUCAUCCAAGUAGAGAGGAUCCCUCUAGUUCUUCUAGUUCUACCUCUAGUUCAUCUAGAUCUAGUUCUAGUUCAUCUAGUUCUAGUUCUAGUUCCUCUAGUUCUAGUUCUAGUUAGUUCUAGUUGUAAUCUAGAAAAUAGGGAGAGAGAAGAGGAGAGCGGAGGAGGAGCCGGAUCUAUCGGAUCUUCCUCAACAUUGUACUUUUGCAGCAUCUGGUUUGUUCUUCAUCGUUCUCCAGGUUCUUCAACUCAUAACUCUUGAGUUCUCUAAUUACUUUUAUUUACAUUCAAGUUAUUUAUUGGAUUCCCGCUUGCAUCAAGUGCUCUAAUCUUUGAAACAUUAGAGUAGUAAUUAAUAGAUUAGACGUGGUGUUUAGUCUUGCAAUUACCUGGAAUUGCACCCAAUCCUGCGGAUUGUUGUGGUAGCCUUAGGGUAGUGAUAGCCCUAACGGUCGACGUAUUCCACCACGUUCGGAUCUGUGUUUGUAGGACCGUAGUCAGACCUUCCUAGCCCCCUUCUCAUCUCUUUCUGUGGUUAGUGCUCUGAUGUCCCGAUAUAGAUAAUCUUGAAGUAAUUCUUGAUUCUUAGAUCAACUAGAGAACUCUUAGGAAACUUCCUCUCUUCCCACCAAAAAUAAUUAUAUAGUUAUCCUUGGGCGAUCUUGGAUCUUAAUUAGUACACUCACGUUCUCUGUGGAAAAUCUAUACUCUGGAAUACUCCCGGGUGAAAGCUACAUCGGUAUCCGUGUGCUUGCGGAUUUUUCUGUUUGCGUUUAAAAUACCCAACAGCUGUCCAAUAUAGUUUUCAAUGCUGUCGCUAGAACUUUCAAAGAAGGACAAGUACCACCAGCUUAUGUGGGCUCGGCCUAUCAUCAGCCAGGAUCGUCAUCGAUUACAGCUCCAUUGGCUACUAACAGCCGUUACAGGUAUAGAAGUUACUUCUUCUCCAAGCACAUUAGGAAUGACUAAUGCGCAAUCUACACCGAUGACGACUAAUCCAUCAAUAUCAGAGGGCGAAGUCCAACUUGCUACAGAUCUAUUGGCAUCGGCAAUGUCAGGAUCUGUGUUUAAAAACUCUCAAGUUCCUCUCAAUUGGUGGGGAUAUGGUAUGCCCCCAGAAUUCAUGGCAAAUAGCUCUGGGACUUCUCAAGUGGCUGACAUGACAGGCAAGGGUCCUAUGGCAUCGGCACCCCCAGUAUCGCCGAUGGCUAAGAAUCCCAGUAUUCUACAACUACCACUGCAAGACCUUUUACUGGGAAUUCUCAAAUACCAAGAUUGCAGAUGCUCUAACGCAUCGUACCUCCAAUGCCGACGCAUCAAAUGUUUAUGACACAGCCAGGGCAUGUUAAUUCAAUGAUGAUGCCCAAUUAUCAACCAUCGGCAGGGCCUACACCGAUGAACGUUAACAAUUGAUGGACAGGGUAGUUUGCCUUUCCACAAAUGCCUUAGCAAGAUCAUCAGGCUAUGGGAUUUCAAUAGGGACCAGUGCAACCUAGUUUUCAAAAUCAAGGAUUGAUCAAUCAACCAAUGAAUCUUGCUCAGCAAGUUGGUGGUCAACAGGCAAUGGCUCAUUCUAUUUUCCCUGGAAAUCGAAUACCGCAAAGACACAUGGAAGCUUACCAACAGGUGCCAGAUCCACAACCUGCUCAUCGGCAAGAUGCCGAUGCCUAUUGGGCUGAUAAGAUAGCUGAGGUCAUGAGAGACCAAUUCGGAAUAAAACCGAAGGUCAAUACUUACUCUUAUUGGACACCAUAUCCUCCCGCGUAUGAUUUGAUCCCGCUUCCAAAUCGGUACAAGGUGCUAGAUUUUACCAAGUUCUCUGGACAAGAUGACACGUCAACCAUGGAGCAUGUCAACAGAUUCAUCAUCUAGUGUGGGGAAGCUGCUAACAGAGAUGAGUUAAGAGUUCGUCUGUUCUCAUCAUCUUUAUCUGGAUCGGCCUUUACUUAGUUUAUUUCAUGACCUCCAAACUCAGUGAUUACAUGGGCCGAUCUAGAAAUGCAAUUCCAUAAAUACUUCUUUUCUGGAGUUCAUGAAAAUAAGAUUACCGAUUUAAUCAGGUUAAGGCAGCGUAAUGAUGAAUCGGUUGAAAGCUUUGUGCAAAGGUUGCGAAAUGUUAAGAAUAAAUGCUAUAGUCUGGUUCUGGACGAUCGGCAACUAGCCGAUUUAGCUUUCCAAGGAUUGUUGCCACACAUUAAAGACAAGUAUGCUUCUCAAGAAUUUGAAAGUCUGAGUCAUCUAGUGUAGAGGAUUUGUGACCAAGACAUCAAUGUUUUUGAACCUAAGAGAGCAUGGAACAAAAAGGUAUCAUUUGUCGAUGAGGCAACAAGCUCAGAUUCUGAUGAAGAACCAGCCAUCGGCUUCGCAAAGUGGGUAAAAAAUAAGAAGUCGAUGUCUUGCCCUUUUGGGCAUAAGGAGCCAGAAAAGUUUGCAUUCGACGUCACCAAAGCCGAUAGGAUAUUUGACUUUCUGCUUCAGAAAGGGCAGAUUAAAUUGUCACCUAACCAUGUGAUUCCAUCGGCAGAAGAGUUGAAGAAGAUCAAGUAUUGCAAGUGGCAUAAUGCAACAUCUCACAGCACAAAUGAAUGCAAAGUGUUCAGGCAACAGCUGCAAUCUGCCAUAGAGUCUGGGAGGAUUAAAUUUGAUAGCUCCAGAGCCUAGAAGCAGAUGAAGAUCGAUCAACAUCAUUUCCCUACAAACAUGUUGGAUGCUAAGGGAAAGACCAAGGUCUUAACGUCAGAAGUAGCUGAAACAAGCGCAUCGGUAGACCCUCAGCAUCAGGUUACUGCUGAUGACACCAAAGGUAAGUGCUUGAUCCAGGAAGGAACCUGCUCAGGACGGUAUAAAGAUCACUCAGGAGCGUGAAGGGCUUGAUCUGGCAUUGUAAUCACUCAGGAGGCAUCAGGAAACCUGGCAGCAGCGUGAAGAUCGGUAUCGUCGCCAAUAGGAGGAUCGUCACGUGGAAGAAGAAAGACGUUGACAAAAGUGGAAUCGGCAUAAAGAUCACUGGAACUGCCCAUUUUUCAUUCACUGUUGGGAGCAAAACAUCAAGCUACCAACUGUUAGAGACUGCCCUGAGUGUAAUGGCUAUAAUCAGUAUGAUAGACCAAAUCGGCAGUAUCGGAACAAUGAUCGGCGUUUUGGUGGGCCGAUUAGAGGAAGGACAUCAGUUCAUGAUCGGCUGGGAGGCAGACACAGUGUGCAUGACAGGCUUGGUGAGCAUGUUGGUUAUUUUCCUAGGAACCAAGAGGUGCUUGAAGAGAUGGCGGAUGCGCGAGCUCCCGAUGAGUUCAUAUUUUGCAGAGAAGCUAACACUUAUCGGGUGGAAUCAAGGGAAAAUCAUCGUCAAUCGGUAAGACAACCACAACUUCCUCCAUGGUGUCCAGAAGGGUUGACAAGGACACAGAAGAGGAGGUUGCAGCGGGAGCGACAAGAAGAACUGAGUAAAGGAGAGAAUUCUGCUAAGUUUGGAGAUCGGCAGUAGUCGGAUCCUAAGGGAAGAGGUCCAUUGGCAUAUGUUAAUAUGGUGUUUAUGUUGCCGAUGGAAUUCCUUGCACCCUUCAGUGAUGAUGAGGGGGUAGAUUUUCCCGAUCAGAUAGCUCAGUUGGCUCUGGAUCCGAUGACGGCUAUUUUUGAAAAGCCCGCCGAUAAUGAGAGACAACAUCUUAAAGCUCUGUUCAUCAAAGGCAGGGUUGAUGGACAGCCGAUGACCAAGAUACUUGUUGAUGGUGGUGCUGCUAUUAAUAUCAUGCCAUAUGCAGUCUAUCGGAAGCUUGGCAAAGGAGAUCAAGAUUUGACCAAGACCGAUAUGAUGUUAAUGGAUUUUGAAGGAAAUGUGUCUCCAAUCAAGGGAGCCAUAUGUGUUGAGUUGACUGUCGGCAACAAAACCUUGCCGACAACUUUCUUUAUCAUCAGUGGAAAGGGUGCUUAUAAUUUGCUGUUAGGGAGAGAUUGGAUUCAUGCCAAUUGUUGCAUCCCGUCUACAAUGCACCAAUGCUUGGUUCAGUGGGUAGGUGACAAGAUUGAAAUUGUCCCAGGAGAUUCUUCUUAUGUCAUUGCAUCGGCAGAGACAGACACUUAUGAAAGAACCAGAUGCAUUUCAGGAGAAGUUUGGGAAAAGGAUUUUCUCAAAGUUGUCGAUUAUGAAAUUCCACCGAUCCAAGCAGUCGGUUCUGAUGAGGAGUUUUAAUGGAUAGGUUCGCCGAUGAUGGAAAGUUAGGCCAAAGGUUUACAUCGGCCGAUGAUUUAGUAGAAGUAGACAUAUGUGAUGGUGAUAGGCCAAGGCCUACUUUUAUUGGUGCCAAGUUAGAUUCCGAGUGUAAGCAACAAUUAAUAGAUUUGUUAAAGGAAUAUAAAGAUUGCUUUGCUUGGGAUUAUACUGAGAUGCCUGGUUUAGACCGAUCGAUUGUUGAACAUCGGUUACCCAUCAAAUCUAGAUUUCAGCCGCAUCAGCAGCCAUCUCGCCGAUGCAAUGCUAAUAUUCUUCCUGAUAUUAAGGCCGAGAUAACUAAACUCAUUGAAGCUAAAUUUAUUAUGCAAUGUCGUUCCAGUUUACAAGAAGAAUGGUAAGCUUCGUGUCUGCAUUGAUUUUAGGAAUCUUAACAAUGCUACACUGAUGGAUGGUUAUCAAAUGUCAGUUGCCGGUUUGCUAGUUGAUGCUGCAACUGGACAUCGGAUCAUUAGCUUUAUGGAUGGCAAUGCAGGAUAUAAUCAAAUAUUCAUGGCUGAAGAAGAUAUUCCAAAGACUGCAUUUAGAUGUCCUGGUCAUGUUGGGUUGUUCGAAUGGAUAGUCAUGACCUUUGGCUUGAAAAAUGCUGGUGCUACUUAUCAGAGGGCUAUGAAUUUUAUCUUUCAUGAGUUCAUUAGCAAGUUAGUGGAAAUCUAUAUUGAUGAUGUGGUGGUUAAGUCUGAAGAUUUCACAAAGCAUCUUGCCGAUCUACGAAAGGUGUUGGAGUGCACAAGGAAACAUGGUUUAAAGAUGAAUCCUAAUAAGUGUGCAUUUGGUGUAUCGGCAGGACAAUUUCUUGGUAUCAUGGUGCAUCAGAGAGGAAUUGAAAUUUGUAGCAGAUCUAUUGAUGCUAUCAACAAAAUAGUUGCUCCCACCAACAAGACUGAACUCCAAUCUCUGAUCGGCAAGAUAAAUUUUAUCAGGCGAUUCAUAUCUAACUUGUCUGGUAAGAUUCAUGCUUUUAGUCCUUUACUUAAGUUGGAAGCCGAUCAAGAGUUUGUAUGGGGAAGAGAACAACAGUCAGCAUUGGACGAAAUCAAGAAUUAUUUGACAAAUCCUCCAGUUCUGAUUCCACCUUAGCAAGGAAAACCUUUCAAAUGGUAUUUGUCUACCGAUGGAAUGGUCAUCGGUUUGGCUCUAAUUCAAGAAUUUGAAGGGAAGGAACGUGUGAUUUAUUAUUUAAGUAGAAGACUGGUCGAUGCUGAGACAUUGUAUUCGACAAUUGAAAAAUUAUGUUUAUGCUUAUACUUUUCAUGUAUCAAGUUGAGACACUAUUUGCUAUCGGCCGAAUGCACUGUUAUAUGCAAGGAUGAUGUAGUCCGGUACAUGCUUUCUAUGCCGAUUAUGAGUGGUAGAAUCGGCAAAUGGAUUUUGGCGCUGUCGGAAUUUGAUCUGCACUAUGAAUCGGCUAAGGUAGUUAAACAGCAGAUUAUGGCCGAUUUUGUGACUCAGCAUUGCGGUGUAGUAGGGACUUUGGAGAUCGUUCCUUGGACGCUCUUCUUUGAUGGAUCCACGUGUGACCGUGGGGCAGGAAUCGGUAUAGUAUUAAUUUCUCCUCGAGGAAAGAAGUAUGAGUUCUCUUUGCCGAUUGUUGCCACGUCAAUGAAUAAUCAAGCUAAAUACCAAGCUCUGAUCAAAGGGUUGAAAUUGUUAAAAGAGGUUCAUGCCGAUGCUGUUGAGAUCUUUGGCGAUUCUAUGCUUGUUAUAAAUCAAUUAGCUGGAAUUUAUGAAUGCCGGAGUGAAGUUUUGAUAACCUAUUAUGAAAAGAGCAUACAACUAUUAAGGGAAUUCAAGGAUUUCUGAUUGGAGCAUAUUCCUCGAUUACAUAAUGAAGAGACUAAUCGGUUGGCUCAGCAUGCCUCGGGAUAUCAACCUAUCUUAAAUAUGUUAUCGUCAAUUAGUGUCGAUGAUUGGAGAAAGGAAAUCAUUGGUUACUUAAAAGAUCCAUCUAAAAAGGUUUAGAGGCGUGUCAGGUUUCAAGCUACCAAGUAUGUACUCCUUGAAGAAGAGUUAUAUUAUCGAACGAUAGAUGGAGUUUUACUCAAGUGCUUGGGUGAUGAUGAGGCUAAAAGCAUGAUGGGUGAGAUCCAUGAAGGAGUGUGUGGAGCACAUCAGUCAGCUUUUAAGAUGAAGUGGAUGAUUAGGAGAAACGAGUAUUAUUGGCCGACUAUACUUGAGGAUUCCUUUAAAUAUUUCAAAGGACAUCAGAGGUUUGGCAAUAUUCAAAGGGCACACGCAUCGUCCAUGAAUCCUAUUAUUAAGCCUUGGCCGUUCCAGGGAUGGGCUAUUGAUCUAAUCGGCCAGAUUUAUCCGUAAUCAAGCAAGGGGCAUAAGUUCAUCUUAGUGACCACUGACUAUUUUACUAAGUGGGUUGAAGCUAUUCCUUUGAAGAAAGUAACAUAGAAACAUGAUUGAUUUUCUGAAAGAGCACAUUGUUUACCGAUUUGGUAUUCCUCAAACAAUCACUACCGAUCAGGGUACUAUGUUCACAUCACGAGAGUUUGAUGAAUUUGCAAUCGGUAUGGGGAUUAAAGUGUUGAAUUCUUCUCCUUAUUAUGCUCAAGCCAAUGGACAAGCCGGAGCACCUAACAAAGGCAUUAUUAAGCUCAUCAAGAGAAAGAUUGAAGAAAAUCCUAGAAGGUGGCAUACUUUGUUGAAUGAAGCUUUGUUGUCAUAUCGGAUGGCAUGUCAUGGAUCGACCAAAAUUUUCACCUUAUCAGUUGGUAUACGGACAUGAUGCGGUGCUACCAUGGGAGAUUAAGACUGGAUCUAGGCGUGUCUUUCUUCAAGAUCAAUUGGCUGCCGAUGAUUAUGCUACUUUGAUGAAAGAUGAGUUGGAUGAUUUGCCAGAGCAUCGGUUGAGAGGUUUAAUAAGUAUAGAAGAAAAUAAAAAUAGAGUCACUAGAUAGUAUGAUAAAAAGGUAAAAGCUAAAGAAUUUGCCGACGGAGAUUUGGUAUGGAAAUUAAUUUUACCGAUUAGGACUAAAAGUUCAAAGUUUGGAAAAUGGUUUCCUAAUUGGGAAGGUCCUUAUCGGAUAACUCGGUCUGCUCGUGGUAAUGCUUAUAUUUUAGAGACUCUUGAAGGAGUUGAAUUUCCUAGAGCAUUAUGGAAAAUAUUUAAAGAAAUAUUACCCAAGCGUAUGGGUUGAUGCAUAGAAGUUUAAGUGCCGAUAACAUUCCUAUCGGCUAGACAAAAUGUAUCUAAGAUCGUAAUGUUUUCAAAAGUGCCGAUAACAGGCCUAUCAGCUAGACCAGAAUGAUCAAAAGUUUCUGAAGGUAGAACGAGACAAGUUGCCGAUGAAGAGCUCAUGCCUUCAGCAAAGCUUGUAUAGUCGAUAUGGCGCGCAGGCGAAUUUGGUCGGCAUCUUCUAUCUCCCGGAUGUCCUCAUCGGCAGAACCCUCUAUUGGCUUCAGCUUUUUUUUGAUCUAUAAUGCCUUAUGAGCAUGGAUGUUUCGUUCUUGGUCGAUAUGGCAUGUAGGCUUUCUUCUUGCUGAGCUUGGGUCAGGGCUUCUUCUACUUGUUUCAGCUCAGCUAGUAGGACUUCUCUUCUUGCCCAUAGGUCGGAGAUCUUUUGCUUCAGUGUGUUUCUUGAGGACUGCAGAAUGCCGAUGCUCUUGCGCUUCUCAUCGGCAAUACGCUUUACUUGCAUUACUUCCUCUGAAAGUUGAGCACAAGCAGCUCUAUCGGCAAGACGCUGAGUGGCCUUCUGAUAUUGGAGCUGGCGACUCUCCAAGUGUGCAGCCUGAAAUAGAGCUUCUUCUGCAUCGGCUGGGAUCUGACCCCUAAGGGUCUUAAACAAAGCUUUGGCUGGGUCAGAAUCAUCGACCAGUUGAGCGGUAUCUUGAUGCAGUAGAGCCAACAGGUCCUCCAGUUUAGCUUUGAUUUCUGCCGAUGAGAUCCCCAGUGCUUGAGAGGAGCUUGCUUCUUCACCCUUGUCAUCGGAGAUGUCGAUAGCAAAGGAGAAUAAGCUAUCUGGAGAGUCUUGUUCUUGAAAAAGGGAUAGAGAUGAGUUAUUUGAUAAUCCAAUGUUGAUAAUAAAGAGUAAAUGAUCAGAAACUUACUUGCUUCAGAGCAAUUUCGCACCUUUGACGGGGGGAUGCGGCCGGUACUAUAGGUUGAUCGGCUGAAGUUGCCGAUGGAACAAUUUCAACUGAGAAAUAACAAUGGUAAUUAUAAUUUGAAAAAAGUAAAUCCAUUGGUGAUAAUUUUGUAGUUAGUACUUUACCUUGAGGGGGUACAGUGCUUGUUUGUCCUGGAGGAAUAACUGAUGAUAUGAUCAGAUCCGCUGGAUCGGCAGUCUGCUCAAGGACAUCGGCUGGUGCUUCUUGUGGCUGACAUGCUGGUUGAGGAAUGGACGGUACUUGCUGUGUCUGGGUUUCUGGUGAAGAAGGUGAUGAUUCUACAUGGAUCGGUAAUGCUGGUUGAGGAGGAGAAGAUGGUGCUGUCUUCUAGCGUUUUGGCUAUGCUUUGGUGCUUUUGGGGCCUUUUCUCUUGACUUGGCUUGGCUAGGGGGCAUUGGCACUUGUUUGAGCACUUCUGGUCUUUGCCGAUUUGCCAGUUUGCUGUUACAACAACCAAGAUUUCAUGAGUACAAAUAUGAAAGAAUGUUGAUGAAAUCUUGUUAAAAGGAUAAAGGUUGCCGAUGAGGUUUCGAUAGCUGUCGAUGUAUCCUGAAAAGAUCAUGUGAGUAUGCAACAGAAUCGGUAUAAGCAAAGGAAAUCAAAAGUGUACCUUGAAAACUUGUGCCAAGGUAGCAGCGGCAACCGAUGGGGACGUCUUUGACCGCUUGGUGGUUAUCUUCUUAAAACGCACAUUUCGAUGCGUUAAAGCUGCCAGACUUUGUGCGUUCUGACCGAUCAGAGAAAUUGGACCUGACGGGAGCAGUCCAAUCGGUCUACCACUUCUGCCGACUAUAGGUGGCGGGUUGUCAACCUAUUUGGAAAGGAGAGAGUAAGUUACCGAUAAGGUUAGAAGUAACAACAGAACUGAAAUAUCAGUUGAAGACUUACAGUGUUAUCGGGGACCUUAUAGUUGGGGUCGAUCAUGUCGCGGUAUGUCAGAGCCGAUGUGCAGAACAGGUUGUUGAUAUUUGGGAACGCAAUAUGUAAUUGAUCCACAAGCGCACGGAUAUCGGUGAGCACUUCACCCGGGAGGUUAUCCAGAGUAUCGUAUUUAUUUUUUUACCACUAGGAGAAAGAGUGCAUCUGACUAACCCGGUCUAUUACUACUAACCCUUUAGGCAACAAAGAAUGUUUCUCGAUGUGAGUGAUAAAUAGAGAAGACUGCAACCGUAGUCUCCUUCUAACCUUGGUAAGGAUGAUCUACUAUUCUAUUGGGGAGGCUAACGAAAUCUAGACACAACAAAGGAUGUUCAACCCGCACCUAUAAACCCUAUCCUUCCUGCUAACGAGAUAUGGUCUGCAAAGGUAACUCGGAAUUGUCACGUUCCUCACUACUACCACGGUCUAGCUAGUCAGGGAAUAUCUAUGAGUACCCCAGCCUAAACACCACGUUUACACCAGCAAUGAUUACUCUAAACUCUACACGAAGAGAUUAAAAUAAACUCAUAAACCAAAAGAACAAUAAAACAAGAACUUACUAGAAUUUAGAAGUCGAAAUACUGAAGAAUCCUAGGAGUAAGCCUUGGGUUAGGAGAACUUGAUCCCGCAGGUACAAGCUCGGAGUAGACACCGACAGGCCGGACUUCCUCCAAUCUACACCUCCACUCUAUCUCUCUCAAUCUAGUAGAAACUAGAAGAUCUAUUUUUACUUACAUUGGUUGCUAAGCCUAAAAAGAAAUUUUAUUUAGAGAAGAGGAUUUCCUUUGAGGGCACCCCUCAACUCUAUGAUAACUUCUUGUCUCCUCCAGGGGCUAGGGGGUCUCCUUAUAUAGUCCUCCUCCUCUAUGCAUUUUUGGGUUGGUAGGCGAUGUGGUACUAUGUUAUCCUUGAUCCUUUAGGUCGGUGGAACAUCGUGUGCGAAGAGAGUCCUAAUUGGCAUCCAGAGGGGGGCGGGCGCCUAUAACAGAACCGCCCAAAUUAUAAGAGAUUAAGCCUAAUAGCGACCAUUUGCAUAGUCAAACCAUCGAGCUUAAGCCCAUAUAAUCCCAUUAGUCCAUGAAAUCUCGAAGGAUUUCAAACCACAUAUCAUACAUACAGCCAAGAUCGUAAUAAGUUCAGCGGUCACCAUUCAUAGUUACAUCCAGUUCGAAAACAUUCAUCGAAAACAUAGGAGUGCUUAAAGUUAUUACAAACCAAGUUCACGGGUAGCGGAAGCUUCAUAGUUGAAAAUAACACACACACACUUAGUCUGAUACAGUGCCAUAGUUUUGGUCAUUCCCACAAAAGCAAAAGAAGAGACGGAGUGACCAUCGCCCUUGGUCUAGUCAUCACCCAUAGCUGGGUACAGGCAGAGGAUGCAAUAACCAUAGUACAUUUGACCAUCUGCAAAACAACAUGGGAGUAGAACCCUGAGUACGAGAAUGUACUCAGCUAGACUGACCCGUCAUAAACUCAAAAAAUAAAGACUCUUCAAGGAUCAUGAAGGCUAUAUAGUGGGGGUAGCUGAUAACCUUUUUGCAUAACAACACUAUUCUAUUAAACAUGUCUUAUAGGAAUUCUCCUUCUUUUAAUUGGCUCAAGUUGAAAGUAUCAUUACCUAUUAUCUAGGUUUGCACCUGCACUAUGGCAAACAAUGUAAUAGUAUGAUGGUACCUCAUCAUAGAAAUCAUGAAAUCAUUUAUCAUUAUAACCCAAGUGUUCCAUAGUCCUUACUACGAGGACAGGGCUCAUGUCAAGUGCUCACUAUCCAGGAGCGAUGGCGAUUUGAAUCGAUUUCUAAACAGCUGGCGAGUUAUUCCCUACACAAACCACACUCACUGAUCAAGUGAGCUACAGAUCACCGUGUUGCACUAUCCAGGACCAAUUCGCGGGUUCGACAGGCACCACCCGUACCCCAGGACCGUUCCGGCGACCGAGGUAUCCUAGGUAUACCAAGGUUGCGUGCCGCGCCCUCGUCGUUCUCCUCAACCAUCACCAAUACAGCGCGUACAUUGGGCCGAUUCCCGGCCCGGAUAGUGCUCAGGCUUCGCGGUCUGAACGACUUAUCCUUCCAGCUAAAUGUGGGGCAUGCGUUCAACAUGACAAGAGGGCCGUCAACGAUCGGUCCUUAAUUGACACAUGCAUGGGCACUAUAGUCAACCCACCAUAAGACCCUGCCGGGUCUCAAAUUCCAUUCCAGACUUGGUCAUUCUCUACCAAAGCAAUCACUACUUAAUCAAGUAGGUAUCCACCUAUAUCUCGCAGGUGACAGGAAAUCACCCGACUUCUACCGAACUAAGCAGGCUAAGCAUAGACUCCGUGCCUAUCUACAUAGGACAAGGUAGAUCAACGGGUAGUGAUAACAAGGAAUAUAUAUGCAUCAACGGUAUCAAGCAAUUCCUACUACUUAAAUGCAACAAAGUAGAACAAGCAUAUUAUAUUAUUUAAGUUAGUGAGAAUAGGGAGGCUUAGAAUGCUCCGGGGCUUGCCUUUCUCGAAGAUGCUCGGCUUAUGAUCCGGGCACUCCUGCAGCUCCUCUCCGAGCUCUCACACUCCCAGAGGUUCCUGCUCCAGUGCUUCCUCCUGCUCCUCGGGUCCCACCUCGUUCUCCUGCGAGCCUGUAUGAUGCAUGUGUGCUCAUGAGUGGAGUGCGAGAUGCCCGAGUGGAUGCUUGUAUGAGAAGGUACCAAAUGACCAUGACAUGAUGCAUCGGUGAUUUAAUUGGUCAUGCUCUUUACAAGGUAGUCAACAUCAUCCAAGAACAUGACUAAUCAUCUAUUUUCUCUUCUUCUACAAAUCAUCCUCAAGUAUCACCAGCAAACUCACAAGAUGCUUCAAAGAUACACCAAACCCUUUUUUAUUCUAUUUACACCAUAUAUAAUAAUUCAUAACUUCUUUAUUCAUUUUUAGACUCAUCAAUAUAGCAUGCAGUUCUGUUCAUCCAUAAAUUCCACAAAAAUUACAGUAGACUACCAGUCAAACGUAAAGUCCACCAUAAUUUUUUCAUAAUUUUUGGACACUUAUUUUUGAGCUACAAAAAUCACAAGAUUAAUUCAUAAAGGCAUGUACAAUUACUCUACUGUGGUAUAAGUGUCAAACAGCAGAUUUCAUAUUUUUAUAAUUUGCUUAAUAUCAUAAGAAACACCCACAAAAAUUUCCAGAUCAAUUGCAUGAUCCAAUUAUUUAUUAAAAUUCAUAAACCACUGCCAUGCAAGCUUUUAAAUCACCACAAUUUCACUCAUAUACCAAAUAAUGUGUAGCAAAAUUUUCCCAGUGACUAAACAUACAUGCAGAGCUAGCAAAACAAGUUUCACAUUUUUCUGAGUCAUAUUUUAAUUACUAUGCAUUUUCCAAAUUCAGCAAAAAUAUGGAUUAAUUAUUUCUGUCCAGAAAAAAUGUUCAAACAUGACAUGCAAUCUAACCAAACUGCAGAUCUGAGACUCUAGAACACAUCAAAAUUUAUUUCAUGAAUUUUGGAGCUAUGGAUCUCAAGAUAUGAAUUUUUGAACAUUUAAACCAUUUUCUGGAAAUCAUUUUUCUGAAAAACAAAUCAAAUCCACCUCGGGACCGGCUAGGUGCACCCGGUGCAGUGCACCGCGGUCGCUCACGAGCGGACCCGCCUGCCAGCCGGGCCCGCUGGCCAGAGCGCAGAGGGGGGGAGAGCUCCGGCGAGCCGUCGGCGACCUCUUUCGGCGAAUCAAGCGGCCCUACACGCUCUAGGGCUCAAGGCGAACCUAGCGCACCCUUUUGCGCGGCCUGAAACGGACCGGAGCAGGCUCGCCACCGGCCAUGGCGGAGCGGCGGCGCUGCUCAUCGUCGUCCCGAGACGCUGGCCCGGUAGAGCGCAGUUGGAGUGGCUCGCGAGCAUCGCGGUGCCAAGGCGAGCACGACGCGCUAACUAAGCGGCACCGGGAGGCACGGAGGCAAGCAGACGACGUGCGCGGCGGCGGCGCUCUCGCCGGAGAAGAAACGAGGGCGAGCGGGGCUCACCGUGCCUCACCGAACGCUCGGACGGGUGUUCCGCAACGGCGGAGCGAGGGCGGAGCUCGGGGGAGAACGAAUCGAAGAAUGGCGCAUGAGCUGGGGGAGAACGGCCGAGGCGGAGCUCGGGCUCCAAUGGCGACGGCGGUGCUAUGCGCGCGCGGAGCGAUGGCGAGAGAGCGAGAGAGGGAGAGCUGACGGGCGCGAAUGGCAGCGAGGGCGGAGGCUGGCGCGGCCGGGCGCUCCUGGUGGCCGACCAGGGCGCGUCCAGGAGAUCGCAUGCUCGCCACGCGGCAGCCGAGUUCUGCCGGCUCGCCACGGCGGCACGGCGCGGCCGUCCGUGCGCGGACACGGCGCGGGCGCGGGGAAGGGGAGAGCGCGGGCGGGCUUGGGCCGGCUUCGGCCAGCGGGCCAGAAGUGAGGCCGCGGCUUGCUAGCGCCCCCUUUUCCCUUUUUUUUCAAUUCUUUUUCUCAAGCUCUUUUUAAAUUCAUUUGGACCACUUUAAAAUUAUUUUCACCUUUCUCUCCCAAAAUGAAAAUUGUUCUAAAUCACAAACCCUACAACUUUGUUUUAAGUUGCAUUCACAAAUUCCAAAUAGAUUUUUAAAUACAACUCAAACUAGUGAUAGGUUUUUAAAUAAAUCUAUUUUGGGGAAUUUAGUACAAAAAUCAAUUUCUCAAUUUCUAUGGCUCCAAAAAUUGCACAAAAAUACUCUUAAUUCUUUUUGCACACAAUUCAACCUAGUUUGAAUAUUUCACAAUUUUAGAAGCAAGCAUCAUAUUUUUAACAUAUUUAAAUCACAUAGAAUAAAGCACAUAAAAUCACAUUUUGGAUGGAUGACAUGCUCAUGUGAUGCCAUGCUUGAUGAGAAUGCUUAUGAAUGUUUUGAUAAGACUAAGUGCAUGCUUAACACCUAGGGUGUUACAGCCCUUCCCCCCUUAGGGAAAUCUCAUCCCCAGAUUUGAGUUACUAACCAUUUCUUAUGAAAUUUUGGAUAAACUAUUUUUAGGUAAUCCUCGGUUUCCCAGGUGGCAUCCCUAUCGUCAUAAUGACUCCACACCACCUUGUAUGUUUUGACAACUCUGUUUCGGGUUACUCGUUCCUUGGUAUCUACGAUCCCCACUGGCUGCUCUUUAUAUUCUAGGUCUGCUUUUAUUUUGAUCCCUCGAUGAUCAAUCCUCUGCUCAGUUACUUUCAAACAUUUUCGUAGUUGGGACACAUGGAAAACUGGAAAGAUCGAACUCAACUCUUCGGAUAACUGAAUCUUGUAGGCCACGGGGCCUUUCCUCUCUAGUAUCUGGUACGGUCCCACAUAUCUAGGUGCAAGCUUCCUUCGAACUCGGAAACGUUGGACUUUCUUCGUUUGUGUAACUUUGAGGUACACAUAGUCACCUAUAUUGAAUUCAAGUGGCCUUCUUCUCUUAUCAGCAUAGCUCUUUUGUCGCGAUUGCGCCGCUUGCAUAUGCUGUUGUAUAAUUUGCACCUUUUUCUCGGCUUCGUUCACAAAGUCGAUACCAUAGUAUCUUCUUUCACCAGGUUCAACCCAGUUUAAUGGAGUUCUACAUCUGCGACCAUACAACGCUUCGAACGGAGCCAUUUUGAUACUCUCUUGAUAGCUAUUAUUGUAUGAGAACUCAGCCAAAGGUAACCAUGACUCCCAUGAUCCCUUGGACGAUAGCACACAAGCCCUCAGCAUAUCUUCUAGCACUUGAUUGAGUCUCUCUGUUUGACCCGAGGUUUGGGGAUGAUACGCUGUGCUUCUUAUUAGACUAGUCCCCAAACUCUUAUGCAUUCGCUCCCAAAAGUGAGCGGUGAACUGUGGCCCUCUAUCUGAUAUGAUGGUCUUGGGAAUACCGUGUAACUUGACGAUCUCAGCUAUAUAUAUAUCAACAUACUCGGGAGGUCGGUAACGAGUUUUCCCAGGAAUGAAAUGAGCCAACUUGGUCAAUCGAUCAAUGAUUACCCAAAUCGAGUCAUUCCCCUUUCCUGUCGUUGGUAAGCCUUUGAUAAAGUCCAUGCUGACCUCUUCCCAUUUCUAGUCUGGAACUGAUAACGGUUGUAACAGACCUGCAGGUUUCAUAUGGAUAGCCUUAACUCUGCAACACGUGUCACAACGGGCCACAUAUGCGGCUAUUUCCUUCUUCAUUUUGGUCCACCAAAAGUGGGGUCUUAGGUCUUGAUUCAUUUUACUACUUUCUGGAUGAAUAGAAAGCUUCGAGAGAUGGGCCUCAUCCAUGAUGCGAUUCUUCAAUUCUCAAUUCUUCGGAACUACUAGACGGUGCUGAAACCACAAUACCCCUUUCUCAUCAACUCUAAACUCAGUUUUUGGGUCAUCUUUGAUCUUCUCUUUGAUGUGGAAAAUACCCUUAUCUGUUUUCUGACCUUCAAUGACUUGACUCUCAAGUGAACAACUGAGCUGUAUGUGACAUAAGACUUCAGGAUGCAUGAGAUUGAAACCAUCUUCAAACAACGGUUGAAUCACUUGAUAGUGCAGUUUGCGACUCAAUGCAUCUGCUACCACAUUAGCUUUGCCUGUAUGAUAGUGAACCUCCAGAUCAUAAUCCUUGAUCAACUCUAACCAUUGUCGUUGCCUGUUGGGUAUUUUAAACGCAAACAGAAAAAUCCGCAAGCGCACGGAUACCGAUGUAGCUUUCACCCGGGAGUAUUCCAGAGUAUCGAUUUUCCACAGAGAACGUGAGUGUACUAAUUAAGAUCCAAGAUCGCCCAAGGAUAACUAUAUGAAUAUUUUUGGUGGGAAGAGAGGAAGUUUCCUGAGAGUUCUCUAGUUGAUCUAAGAAUCAAGAAUUACUUCAAAGAUUAUUUAUAUCGGGACAUCAGAGCACUAACCACAGAAAGAGAUGAGAAGGGGGCUAGGAAGGUCUGACUACGGUCCUACAAAACCGAUCCGAACGUGGUGGAAUACGUCGACCGUUAGGGCUGUCACUACCCUAGGGCUACCACAACAAUCCGUAGGAUUGGGUGCAAUUCCAGGUAAUCGCAAGACUAAACACCACGUCUAAUUUAUUAAUUACUACUCUAGCGUUAUAAAGACUAGAGCACUUGAUGCAAGCGGGACUCCAAUAAAUAACUUGAAUGUAAAUAAAAGUAAUUAGAGAACUCAGGAGUUAUGAAUUGAAGAACCUGGAGAACGAUGAAGAACGAACCAGUUGCUGCAAAAGUACAAUGUUGAGGAAGAUCCGACAGAUUCGGCUCCUCCUCCUCCGCUCUCCUCUUCUCUUUCCCUAUUUUUCUAGAUUACAACUAGAACUAACUAGAACUAGAACUAGAGGAACUAGAACUAGAACUAGAUGAACUAGAACUAGAUAUAGAUGAACUAGAGGUAGAACUAGAAGAACUAGAGGGAUCCUCUCUACUUGGAUGAAGAAUUGAAACCCUAGCUUUGAUUCUGUAGAAGAGGUAUGCUCUCCAGGGGCCAGGGGGCCUUGCUUAUAUAGUCUUUUCAGAUGAAUCUGGGCCGUCGGAUCAAACCGACAUUAAUCGCAUGGUUUUCCUUGGUCCCUUAGGUCGGUGCAGGACGAUCCGCGAAGUUGAAGCUGAUUGGUUACUGUAGCUGGGCGGGCACCCAAGGGACUUGGGCGGGCGCCCUGCCCCCGGGCCCGAUCGGCCUCCCGUUCGUUCCCGUGGCUUCUGGAGUCUUCUAAAUGGUAGAAAAUUGCGCGGCACGUUAAUAUCUCUAUGUAAACCCGACGUGUGGGCCUUUCUUCCUUAUUUCCUGAUAACCCCCUGCAGAAAUAGACAAACACCAAAACUUGUGGAAUUCUAUCAGAUAAAACCCUAAGUCUAGGUGUUGGUUGCAUUUGGAUCCUUUUCCAUGAUUAGUUGACGGUUAAAUGUGAGCAUUAAGGACCGUCAACAAGCUCCCCCAAGCUUAACCUUUGCUCGUCCCUGAGCAAAGAUGAACUCAAGAGUUUCUGCAGUGGUUUCAUGCCUUAAAGGUACACAUGCGUUCAAACAAGAUCACAUCUCUGGGUUAGGGUAAACUGUUAAGAUUUAAACUUGCUCAUUUUACCUUCCACCAUGGGGCUUGCAUCCGUCACCUGUGUCUUGAGCAGUUAAAAGAUAGAACGGUCUAGUCAAGCGCCAUGUCUCUUGUUCUUCGAUUAACUAUAGCUCUGGAGUUUUUGCAGAUUUUCAAAUAAAACUCAGAGAUUCCUUGUAUGACUCUCUCUAGUCUCUCUUUUGUGGUAUUUCUGGAUCCUUACCAAGGCAGUGAUGAUAUAUGCCUUCUCUCAAAUUAUGUGGUAUUUUUGGUAUGAGGCACAGUGACAUUGCCUUCUCUCUCACCCUACUCUAAUAAGGUUUUGAUAUCUGGAGCUCAUAGGUGGGAGACAGCUAAUACAUACUUACAAGACAUUGAUUGUAUAGUCAAACCAUGGAUCUAGAAGAACAAGUCAAUAAGUCAAAUCAAGAUGUGCAUGUGUGACGAAUGAAUGGUGAUAAUGGCGAAAGUCUAAUUCUACUUGUGCUCUUUUGAGGGGAUACAUACCUUUCUUGCUCUUUUGAAACUUUUUGAGGAGAAUGAGAUGCUCUAUAUUUUCUUUUUCUUUUCUCUCAGGUGGGUAUCUUGUACCCCUAAUUCUACUGUCGGACACUUGUCCAUUUUUACCUCUCGUCUUACUUUUUCUUUUCUUUCGAGGUUCCGGGCACUUGCCCCUUUUUAUUUCCUCGUAUCUUUUUUUCUUUUUUUUUCUUUUUUUAGAGCACUCAUCUCAUGAGAUAAUAUAGCAAGUGGUAGUAACAAGAUAACUUGAGCAUUUAUUUCACAGGGGAAAAACAGAAAUAUUUUUGACUAUUCUCUCCCGGAUUAUGAGUAGAAUAUUUUUGGGUGGUUCUGUAGAUGGAAAUGGAUAUAUGUGGAUGCGUACUUCCGGAGUAGAAGCAGCAUGUGUAAGUGAACGUGCAAGUGAAUCUUGAUUUAACCACAUGACAAGCUCCUAAGGGUCUACACAGCUUGACCACACUCAAUGCUCAUAAGUAGUAAGUAAAUGUGUGGCUCAAAGUUUAGCAAGCAUGUAUAUAUGGCUGUGGUAGGAAUUUAAACUCUCAUCAUACAGGAACUCAUCAUGUGUUAUUUUAAAUAUUUUCAAAGAUAAAAUUCUCCAGAAUUCUAGCAUCUCUAAGAACAGAUAAACAGCAGCUCAACCUUCCCAUAUCAUAUCUGUUAACGACUUAGACUUUAGAUCAAGUACUCUUCCCACAAGUUCAGGUUUAGAGCAAAUCUUAAUUAAUAACAGUCAUGCCUAAACUUGAGAGAGAUUUCAAUUUUGAGAACUAGUCAUGGUAGAGCAACUAUUCAUCAUUUCCAUAUGAGAGCUUAUCAUGAGGGUUCAUAGCAAACUUUAUUUAUUUAUUUAUUUAUUUAGCAACUAAGCAAAGAUAUAUAUAUAUAUAUAUAAGCACAAAAUCUUUAUUUGGGUUUUUAUGAUUAUGCAUCUUUUUAUUAUUUGAGUAAAGUAUAAACAUGAGUAGAACACUUAGCUGGAUAAAUGGGGGUGCUCUCCCCCAAGCUGGAUUUUGAUGUAAUUUCUUCUGAUGUAGCUAGCAGGUGGCGGAGGUGUAUUUGAAUGUCAGCAGCACCCUGGCAGCGAUUAGGAUGUCCUCCGUCUGCUAGUCUUCUUUGAUCCUUGAAUUCUGUGGAGCUCAAAUAGACAACAAAGCUUUGUGGAACUAGUUAAGUGUUAGCAUAAAUAUCUAGCCUUUAUCAUGUUGAGCCUCCUCAAUAAAUGUUACACUCUUUAGUAGGAUCAUAAAUUUAUUUUUAUAAUUUUAUUUUUAUAGGACAAGAAUAUAUUUAUUUCAUUUUUAUGCCACCACAGUGAAUGUACUUAUGGGUUUUAUGCCAUGAGCAUACUCACAUGGGGCUUAAUAUUUUUUUAACAUAUUUAUUUUCUUUUCAAGAUGAUAUAAACCGGAUUAACUAAACGAACCAUUUUAAAUAAUUGAAAGAAAAAAGAUAACUACUAAGUUUACCUCUUGGCAAGGCGUUCAGUGUUUUUAAGUCCUCCGAACUGGACUCUCCGUUUUCUCAAUCAUCCUGGGAUUCACUGGAUGGCGUAGUCGGUGGUUCCGGCGGUGCCUCCUCUUCAUGUAUAACUAUCUUCUCUCUCCACACCAGACUCGGUGCUACGGUCUCCUCAGGACAGUUCUAUUCAAGUUGUAUGUCUUCAGACCUUACAACUUCUCCUUCAUAGUCUACCCAUCCGUCCUUGAUGAUUUGCCUUCUCUGAUUGCGGUUGCGUCAUCUUCUUCUUGUCCUGACCUGCUUAGAGUCUUCAACUAUAUGGUUAGGGUCAGUAAAAUAGUGGCGUACCAUCUCAGAGGGGAAGUGCAUUUGGACUUCUCCGGUUCCAAUGUAGAUGAUUGCUUUAACGGUGUUGAGGAACGGUCUUCCAAGGAUGACAGGUGGAUUGUACUCGUCUUCUCCCAUGACAAUAACCUUCAAAUCAUCUGGAGCUGAAUGUAUUUUGGUUCUAGAUGCAUGGUUCUAAACAGGAGCUGAUAGGUGACCGCGGCCAUUGACAUCAGAUCCGGUGUCGUAGAGUGUAUUCUGAAAAGAAUAUCCGUUGAUUGUGCACUCGAUGCUUGGAACACCAGGGUCGUCCUUCUUGAACAAGAAAGGCGACUUGAGUUGACGAUCUUGACCUCCUUGAACUGUAGUGACCAUCUCAGCUAACUCAGUCCACAUUUGCUUGUUUCUGUUCCUCCUGUUGGUCCUCUUCCUUGGUUCAUAUCGGGAUUGCUUUGAGAUUUGUGUAAUCUUGUUCUUGAAGGAAAACGUCUCCUUCCUCCCUUUGAUGUAGAAACUGAUCUUGGCAGCACUAGCGUAGAUGACAGCUCCCGAGGUGUUCAAGAAUGGCCUCCCUAGGAUGAUGGAUGCCCUCUCAUCAAUACCAGUCUCUAUCACCACGAAGUCUGCUGGGGCGUACAAGGUACCAACUCGGAUGCAGAAGUUCUUCAAUAUUCCCUUUGGGAAACUUAGUGUCUGAUCUGCAAGCCGCAAACACAUGGUUGUUUCUAGGAAAGGAUGUGUAAAGAAUUUAUCAUAGAGUACCCUGAGCAUAAUGUUAACGCUAGAGCCAAAGUCGCAGAGUGCUUCUAGGAAGUCCACCAUGCCGAUGGAGAUCGGGAUGAUGGGGCGUCCUGGAUUGUCUCUCUUGACCGGCAGAAGGUCAGUAAUUACUUCCACAACGGGGUUACUCUAGUAGUUACGUCCUCAAGCAUCUCAGGGUAGUGAUUGCCUGAGUCUCCAGUAUCUCCAGUGUGUUUGUGCUCGUAGAUGUAGGUUCUUCACUUGAUGGAGUCUGGGAGUUGUAAAAUUCCAUCAUAUUUUGCUCGAAGUGUACCUGCUCAUAGAGACAAGGCAGAGAUCAAGUGCAUAGGCCCUGUUAGUGGAAAACACCAACAGAACCAAAAGUAUAUUUGUUCUUCUCUAACCUUAAGCCUAGUGAGCAAGACAAAGUUGAUGGAUAAUAAGAUCAUGAGUGUAGCAUUUAAAACAUUUGUCACAUCAGAUUGCUCAACCUUAUGGAAAGAUAAUCUAUCUAUAUAUAUGUGUUUUCUCUUUUUUAUAUAUAUAUAUAUAUCUUCCAAAGACUGAGUGUGCAACACUUUAGCUCAUAUGAUUAGGAGUGUGGGAUCACAAAGGUGGAAUGACUAAACAUAUUGAAUCGACUGGGUUGGUUAAUCUAGAUUUGUAAAUCAUACAUGUUUGUCUCUUUUAUUCAUGUGAACGCCAGAACCAAGGAGAAGCUUAUAAAAGUGAUAGUCAAGUACCUUAAGAUGUUACCUUACUUGAAGAGUGAUGGUACGGUAUCUCCUUGUGGAAGCUUUCCUUUCUUAGCGGUUGUGCAUCGUGUUUGUAGCACCCUCCAUGGAUCAUCUCUUGUGAGCUAUGCCUUCCGUGUGUAAAUUGUUAACCUUCAUGUGUCUCUCUCUUUGUCUCUAAUGUGAGUUUAUCUCAGGACUUCCCAAGUCGAUAUUGAAAGUUUUCCUGCAGGGGUUAGUCCAACAAAAUAUCCAAUAUCUACUAUAGCAUACUAUUGGCUCAAAGAUCAACCUAGACACCAUGUCUAAAUUGAUUUAGGAGGGCAUUUUAACCUAAGCAUCAUGCUUAAUUUAAACUCCCUUGGAAGUAAGAUCAACAGCCCUAAACUAAGCACCAUGCCUAAUUAAGUGAUAAAUGAAACUACUCCAAACCUAGACAUAUACUAAAGCAAAUAAAGGUAGCAUGAGAGCAUUUAUAGAGUUCUACUCAAGUGGAGAUGAAGUAGUGUGAUUAGUAUUUAACAAAUUGAGCAUGUCUCAAUGGUAGGGUCAACCAAUAUAGCAACAUGGCAAACGAUGUUUUUAUGUAAAGUACUCCCCCAAGCUUGAAUUUUGCAAAAUUCAAGUUUGGAUGAAUUUAAUUCAAUGUUGUAUGAUGAUUGGUUGUACAUACCUUGUGCUUGUCAUUCAUUCGAUCUUCUUGCUCCAAUCCUGGAAAGGUUAGUGACAAGAAUACCCGAAGGAAUUUUUUUACAAUUAUCCUUAUAUGCUCAACACACAAGGUAAUGUUGCAAAUAAUCAAAAGUUUAUGUUAUGGUAUGAUCAGUGCUUAUUUUAGGACGCUAAGCUUGUCCUUGGGAAACCAUCAAUUUAUGUCAGUGAAGUGGUUUCCCUUCCAACGCUGACCUAUAUCAAGAUCAACUCAACGAGAUCUGCAAAAUUUAUUAUAGACAUAUGCAUCUACAACCGCCCUUUUAAAGUUUUUAUAAAUAGAAAGGAAGAGGGGGUUGCAGAUCUCGAAUGUGGUGAUGUUGGAGAGACCAAUGGAUUGUGAAGAUGUUGCAUAUGAGCAUGGAGUAAAUAAAGUGGCUAUGAAAUAAAUUCCAUGCUCAUUAAUGCUUAGAGUGAAAUCCAUGUGGUAUGGUGAAAAUGAUAAGGUGAGUGUGGUAAAAAAGGAAAAGAAAAAGGAUACACGGACGACUUGGUUCGAAACUAGCAGAGCUACCGUUCCCCGGCAACGGCGCCAGAAAGCUUGUUGGGUAUUUUAAACGCAAACAGAAAAAUCCGCAAGCGCACGGAUACCGAUGUAGCUUUCACCCGGGAGUAUUCCAGAGUAUCGAUUUUCCACAGAGAACGUGAGUGUACUAAUUAAGAUCCAAGAUCGCCCAAGGAUAACUAUAUGAAUAUUUUUGGUGGGAAGAGAGGAAGUUCUCUGAGAGUUCUCUAGUUGAUCUAAGAAUCAAGAACUACUUCAAAGAUUAUUUAUAUCGGGACAUCAGAGCACUAACCACAGAAAGAGAUGAGAAGGGGGCUAGGAAGGUCUGACUACGGUCCUACAAAACCGAUCCGAACAUGGUGGAAUACGUCGACCGUUAGGGCUAUCACUACCCUAUGGCUACCACAACAAUCCGUAGGAUUGGGUGCAAUUCCAGGUAAUCGCAAGGCUAAACACCACGUCUAAUCUAUUAAUUAGUACUCUAGCGUUAUAAAGACUAGAGCACUUGAUGCAAGCGGGACUCCAAUAAAUAUCUUGAAUGUAAAUAAAAGUAAUUAGAGAACUCAGGAGUUAUGAAUUGAAGAACCUGGAGAACGAUGAAGAAUGAACCAGUUGCUGCAAAAGUACAAUGUUGAGGAAGAUCCGACAGAUCCGGCUCCUCCUCCGCUCUCCUCUUCUCUCUCCCUAUUUUUCUAGAUUACAACUAGAACUAACUAGAACUAGAACUAGAGGAACUAGAACUAGAACUAGAUGAACUAGAACUAGAUCUAGAUGAACUAGAGGUAGAACUAGAAGAACUAGAGGGAUCCUCUCUACUUGGAUGAAGAAUUGAAACCCUAGCUUUGAUUCUGUAGAAGAGGUAUGCUCUCCAGGGGCUAGGGGGCCUUGCUUAUAUAGUCUUUUCAGAUGAAUCUGGGCCGUCGGAUCAAACCGACAUUAAUCGCACGGUUUUCCUUGGUCCCUUAGGUCGGUGGAGCACGAUCCGCGAAGUUGAAGCUGAUUGGUUACUGUAGCUGGGCGGGCACCCAAGGGACUUGGGCGGGCGCCCUGCCCCCGGGCCCGAUCGGCCUCCCAUUCGUUCCCGUGGCUUCUGGAGUCUUCUAGAUGGUAGAAAAUUGCGCGGCACGUUAAUAUCUCUAUGUAAACCCGACGUGUGGGCCUUUCUUCCUUAUUUCCUGAUAACCCCCUGCAGAAAUAGACAAACACCAAAACUUGUGGAAUUCUGUCAGAUAAAACCCUAAGUCUAGGUGUUGGUUGCAUUUGGAUCCUUUUCCAUGAUUAGUUGACGGUUAAAUGUGAGCAUUAAGGACCGUCAACAUUGCCUCAUAUUCAGCUCGGACUGAGUGAAGAUAUACUUCAAACUCUUAUGAUCGGUAUAGAUAUGACACUUAUUUCCCAGCAAAUAGUGUCUCCAGAUCUUCAAAGCGUGCACUACUGCUGCUAACUCGAGGUCGUGAGUUGGGUAGUUGACUUCGUGCUUUCUCAACUGUCGUGAAGCGUAAGCUAUCACUCUGCCAUCUUGCAUCAGCACACACCCCAAGCCACUUUUCGAUGCGUCCCAAAACACAUCAAAAGGCUUCUCGAUAUUAGGUUGCGCCAAAACAGGAGCGGUGGUUAGCAACUUUCGCAUGGUGCGGAAGGCUAGCUCACACCCCUCCGUCCAGGCAAACUUAUGAUCGGCUUAGCAAUCUUGGAGAAGUCGGGUAUGAAACGACGAUAAUACCCGGCCAGACCAAGAAAACUUCUAACUUACGAGACAGAAGUUGGUGCUUUCCAGUCCAUGACUUCCUACACUUUUGACGGAUCCACAGCAAUCCCUUCUUCAGACAGAAUAUGCCCUAGGAAAGGAACUUUCUUCAACCAGAACUCACACUUGCUAAACUUGGCAUAUAAAUGAUGCUCUCAUAGUCGUGUUAGCACGAUUCUCAGAUGCUCGGCGUGAUCUUGCUCAUUUUCUGAAUAAACCAGAAUAUCAUCGAUAAACACUACAACAAACUUAUCUAAUUCUGGCAUAAAGACUGAAUUCAUUAGAUACAUAAAAUAUGCAGGAGCAUUCAUAAACCCAAAGGACAUGACCAGAUACUCAUACAACCCAUAUCUGGUGAAAAAAGCAGUCUUCGGGAUGUCUUGCGGACGAAUCUUGAUUUGGUGAUACCCGGAUCUCAAAUCUAUCUUGGAAAAUACCUUUGCCUUGGACAACUGGUCAAAUAAGAUAUCAAUCCUUGGCAAAGGAUACUUAUUCUUGAUUGUCACUGCAUUGAGUGGACGAUAGUCCACGCACAUGCGCAACGAUUGAUCCUUCUUUUUCACAAACAACGCUGGACAACCCCAUUCCGACGAACUAGGCCGGAUAAACCCUUUAUCCAACAACUCCUUUAGUUGAUUCUUCAACUCAGCGAGUUCGUUUGGCGGCAUCCGGUACGGCCUUCUAGAUAUUGGUGCGGUACCUGGUAUCAACUCGAUUGCAAACUCUACUUCCCUAUCUGCAGGAAGUCCUGGUAAUUCCUCAGGAAAAACAUCAGGGAACUCACAUACCACUAGUAUGUGUUCUAGCGGAACCACCUGUACUGCACAUGAAAGACUAGCGAAGUCUAACCGUCGAGGUAGCUUGACCUGAAGCACACCUCCCCCCUGCGGUUCUUUGAGGGAAAGAGUUCUGUUUCCAGCAUCUAUAACUGCACCCCAAUCAGUCAUCUUAUUCAUUCCAAUGAUGACAUCCAGAACCAGCCCUGGCAUGACCACAAGGUUUACACGAAACCUUCGGCCACUGAUAUCCAAGGUAACCCCUGUUACUGUUUGUUAGUCAACACAUCAGCCCCGGCUGAGCUGAUGCGAUAGCCAUAACCCAACUCAGUAACUGGCUGGUCAUGCUUUUGUGCAAAUGCUUGGCUCAUGAAUGAAUGUGAUGAUCCAGAAUCAAACAAAACAAUGCAAGAUGUUGGUUGACAGGAAACAUACCAGCUGCUACCGGUUCUCCUUCCAGAAUCUCCUCGAUCGAGGUAUGGUGCACACGAGCUGGAUAGGUUGCCUGUUGCCUCUUGGGGUAGGGACAUUCUUUGGCAAAGUGCCCCAUCUUUUGGCAAUUGUAACACGGUGCCUUGGGCGCAUUGUUGGCGGAAGGUGCCGUGGCUUGAAUUGCCUUUGGCUUGGUAGGAGCUAUCGCCACCUUAUACGGCUUUUGCUGCGUUGGAUGCCCGGUGUCCCUUCUCUGCGGCGGUCAGAACCUAGGACCUGGGGCAGGAGGACGAUACUGCUGUCACCCUGCCACUGGUGCCCUGGACUGGGAUGACCCAGCUUCAAAAGCCCUCUUACGAGAUUUGGAUGCACUAUAGUUGUUGUUAUUGUUUUCCUAGGUCAGACAGUCACUGAUAUAAGCAUUGAAGGUAGCCCUGGCUCCUGUACCCAUGGUCUUCAGCAUCUUUGGAUUCAAGCCUCUCUGGAAACUAGCAAUCUUCUUGGCCUUCGUGUUCACAAACUCGGGGGCAUAGCGAGCGAGAUUGUUGAAAGCGUGCAGAUACUCUUUCACAGAUUUCGUCCCCUGGGACAGCCUCAUGAACUCCCCAACCUUCAUUUCCACCACACCCGGAGGAAUAUAAUUUCCCCGGAACGCGGUGGUGAAGCGGUUCCAAGUGAUCGGGGUCCCUUCUGGGUAGGUGGUACGGUGAUGGGACCACCAAAUCCCAGCUGGUCCCUGCAACUGAUGUGCCGCAUACUCAGCCUUGAGUUCUUCAGUCAUCCGAAGAAGACGAAACUUCUCCUCCAUGGUGUUGAUCCACUCAUUCGCCUCGAGCGGUUCCAAAGCCUCCUUGAAGACUAGUGGCUUGGUAUCCAUGAAGUCCUUGAAUGAACUAUACUGGUUGACCUCACGGCCGCCUUGGUUAUCUCCACGGUGGGUGUUAUCAGCUAUGUUGCGUAGGGCUUCCUCCAUAUUGCGCUGCAUUUGUUCCAUGUUGUGUUGACUCCCCAGAAACUGCGCGAAGAACAUGUCCACAGUGUAUGGAGGAGGCGGUGGUGGUGGCAGUGACGGUGCUCUGUCCUCAUUCCGUCGAGCCCCACCUCCGGAUGUACCUGCUCCAAGACCGGGGUUGCUGUUACCCCGGCCACAUGUUUGCACCAUCUGCAUGCGUCACUAAUAAGCAAUCGUUAGGAGUUGCCAUCAAUGGUAGACAUGUGUAGAAUUAUGCCGUACUGAAUUACUGAGGAAAUAAAUUCACACAAUAAACAGAGGCACAACAAUUCAUCAUCCACGCACAACAUCACCAACAGGUUACGUAUCAUUCAAGCAACAUGGUUCGCAUACAUCCAAACUUGCAAGCAUACAUACACUGGACUUUCAGCGUCAUCUCAUAAAGUUUUACAUAGCCCAGAUCUGAAAGUACAAGACAUGCCAUGCAACAUCAACAACAAAAGAAGAAGGACUAGCUCUAGAGCCCUAGCAUCUACUCGCUAUGGUCACUGUCCAAGCCGGAGCCCUCCUAGUCCUCAUCUCCACUAGCAGCUGCCCCUAUUUCUGGAUCCUCAUCCAUCUCAUCCUCUGAGUCUAGCUCGGCUGCUCCAGGUAGGUGGUGAGGGUGGAGCUAGUUAUUCAGCUGGUGGAUCUCCUCAUGCAAGUUCUCAUUGCACUCCUUAGCAUUAGCUAGCUGCUGCUCAAGCUCUGGCUGUCGGGACCUCAAAGUAUCCUCCUCGUGCCAGGCUUCAUUCCUCUGACCAAGCACAUGAACUAGCAUGCGCUCGAAGUUCCUGUGAGCAGUAGUCACUCUGUCUCUUUGCUCUCUCAUUGCAAGCAGGUCCUGGCUCAACACACUGUUCUUCUGGACUGCCUGGUCCUGCUCUCGGGUCACGCGGGCCAACUCUGCCUGCAGCCUCUCAACCUCAGUGUCGAACUCACGCUGUAGCUGGCGCUUCUCAUCCUGAACGGUGAAAAGAGACCCGGACAAGCGACCCAAACAACGCUCCAGGCCUCCAUUAGUCUUCAUCAAGGCGUACAUAGCACUCAUAGCUGCGCUAUCACUGUGCUGGUCCUCAUCCGCACUCCUCUCUAGAGCGUUCACCUCGGACUGAUCCCACAUCGAAGCGUAGGGGUCAGGAAACACCCCAGCGAAGGCGUGGGCCAGCUCCUGUGGAAACCUCUCCAAGAGGUCCCUCAGAACUGCGAAAGCUACCCGGCUGGCACCGUGGAAAGGCGUGGCACCUCGGGACUCAUACACCCAGCCGCCCCAGGCGAGGUCACCUCCACUGGUAGGGACCACUGCCUCGAUCCCCACCAGGGUGCAGUCACCAAGCUGCUCCUUGUCCCAGUAGUAGCGAGGUUCCCACCCUUCGGGAUACCCCAUCGAACUGAGCACCCUCCAAAGCAAAGUGGGCAUCCCAAACUCCUCCAGGAACUUGCUCUUAUGACGCGAGCUCCUGGCUACCAACAGAUGGCGAGGGGCCCGCCCACAAGUGGACUUGCGAGCGGUGAGCCUAGUACAUGCCAUCUGCUGCAAAUGGAAUACCUUGGUAAGAUCGAGGAUUAUCUUUAAUUAUUUUAUUUAGAAUUGGGAUGGAUUAAAUUAAGGGGGAAAGUAAGCAAUGAUAUGAAAUGAACAUGAUGCAUGCACGGAGUUACGAUCUCACAAACUUAGAAACAAAAAUUAAUACUAAGCGGUAUAUGCGGUGGCAUACAGCGUUCUCUCAUAACGUAACUAGCGUUUUAAGCGAGAACGUGGUUAGUGUAGCUGCAGAAAACUCAUUUCAGCCCAACCACAGUAUGAUCAUGCAGAACAAGAAAUUAAAACUAUACACCCCACAUACACAGACACCCUGUCCAUGCAUAUGACGUGCUACUACCAACAUCAUCGCCCUAAUGACGGCAUCGCCUCUCAGGACGGAAUCUCCCAACAUGCGGUACUGUUCCCAUGCACACCAAACAUGUGUGCCUGACACAACACCUAACAACACUCCCCUGGACCGGCAGUGUAUCCGAUUAUGCUCUCACAGCUCCCACUUACCGAGGCGUAGAGGAAAAAUUGAUCCAUACAUUACCACUCAAAUGAAUGGUACUCAUACUAUUGCACGCCGUAUGAGUGACGAAAUAGAAAUAUGAUGCAUUAACCCCCACGUCAGUACUUAACUAGCCACCUUAGAGUCCUUAACUGGGCAUAAAGGAUAUGACCAUGGCACACUAGAUAGUUUUCCCAAAACUUAGCUUGACACCUUGAUUAUCAUUAAUUAAUAAAAAUCUUUUAUUCAACCGGUUUAGAUUUAGUUUAGAACGUAUUUAUGAACAGUAACUCGCUAAACCUUGCUCUGAUACCAGUUGUAACAGAACCGCCCAAAUUAUAAGAGAUUAAGCCUAAUACCGACCAUUUGCAUAGUCAAACCAUCGAGCUUAAGCCCAUAUAAUCCCGGUAGUCCGUGAAAUCUCGAAGGAUUUCAAACCACAUAUUGUACAUACAGCCAAGAUCGUAAUAAGUUCAGCAGUCAGCAUUCAUAGUUACAUCCAGUUCGAAAACAUUCAUCAAAAACAUCAGAGUGCUUAAAGUUAUUACAAACCAAGUUCAUAGGUAGCGGAAGCUUCAUAGUUGAAAAUAACACACACACUUAGUCUGAUACAGUGCCAUAGUUUUGGUCAUUCCCACAAAAGCAAAAGAAGAGACGGAGUGACCAUCGCCCUUGGUCUAGUCAUCACCCAUAGCUGGGUACAGGCAGAGGAUGCAAUAACCAUAGUACAUUUGACCAUCUGCAAAACAGCAUGGGAGUAGAACCCUGAGUACGAGAAUGUACUCAGCUAGACUUACCCGUCAUAAACUCAAAAAAUAAAGACUCUUCAAGGAUCAUGAAGGCUAUAUAGUGGGGGUAGCUGACAACCUUUUUGCAUAACAGCACUAUUCUAUUAAACAUGUCUUAUAGGAAUUCUCCUUCUUUUAAUUGGCUCAAGUUGAAAGUAUCAUUACCUAUUAUCUAGGUUUGCACCUACACUAUGGCAAACAAUGUAAUAGUAUGAUGGUACCUCAUCAUAGCAAUCAUGAAAUCAUUUAUCAUUAUAACCCAAGUGUUCCAUAGUCCUUACUACGAGGACAGGGCUCAUGUCAAGUGCUCACUAUCCAGGAGCGAUGGCAAUUAGAAUCGAUUUCUAACUAACUCGCGAGUUAUUCCCCACACAAACCACACUCACUGAUCAAGUGAGCUAUAGAUCACCGUGUUGCACUAUCCAGGACCAAUUCGCGGGUUCGACAGGCACCGCCCGUACCUGAGGACCGUUCCGGCGACCGAGGUAUCCAAGGUAUACCAAGGUUGCGCGCCGCGCCCUCGUCGUUCUCCUCAACCAUCACCAAUACAGCGCGUACAUCGGGCCGAUUCCUGGCCUGGAUAGUGCUCAGGCUUCGCGGUCGAACGACUUAUCCUUCCAGCUAAAUGUGGGGCAUGCGUUCAACAUGACAAGAGGGCCGUCAACGAUCGGUCCUUAAUCGACACAGGCAGGGGCACUAUAGUCAACCCACCAUAAGACCCUGCCCGGUCUCAAAUUCUAUUCCACACUUGGUCAUUCUCUACCAAAGCAAUCACUGCUUAAUCAAGCAGGUAUCCACCUAUAUCUCGCAGGUGACAGGAAAUCACCCGACUUCUACCGGACUAAGUAGGCUAAGCAUAGACUCCGUGCCUAUCUACAUAGGACAAGGUAGAUCAAAGGGUAGUGAUAACAAGGAAUAUAUAUGCAUCAACGGUAUCAAGCAAUUCCUACUACUUAAAUGCAACAAAGUAGAACAAGUAUAUUAUAUUAUUUAAGUUAGUGAGAAUAGAGAGGCUUAGAAUGCUCCGGGGCUUGCCUUUCUCGAAGGUGCUCGGCUUAUGAUCCGGGCACUCCUGCAGCUCCUCUCCGAGCUCUGACACUCCCAGAGGUUCCUGCUCCAGUGCUUCCUCCUGCUCCUCAGGUCCCACCUCGUUCUCCUGUGAGCCUGUAUGAUGCAUGUGUGCUCAUGAGUGGAGUGCGAGAUGCCCGAGUGGAUGCUUGUAUGAGAAGGUACCAAACGACCAUGACAUGAUGCAUCGGUGAUUUAAUUGGUCAUGCUCUUUACAAGGAAGUCAACAUCAUCCAAGAACAUGUAAAUACACUAAUCAUCUAUUUCCUUUUCUUCUACAAAUCAUCCUCAAGUAUCACCAGCAAACUCACAAGAUGCUUUAAAGAUACACCAAACCCUUUUUUAUUCUAUUUACACCAUAUAUAAUAAUUCAUAACUUCUUUAUUCAUUUUUAGACUCAUCAAUAUAGCAUGCAGUUCUGUUCAUCCAUAAAUUCCACAAAAAUUACAGUAGACUACCAGUCAUACAUAAAGUCUACCAUAAAUUUUUCAUAAUUUUUGGACACUUAUUUUUGAGCUACAAAAAUCACAAGAUUAAUUCAUAAAGGCAAGUACAAUUACUCUACUGUGGUAUAAGUGUCAAACAACGGAUUUCAUAUUUUUAUAAUUUGCUUAAUAUCAUAAGAAACACCCACAAAAAUUUCCAGAUUAAUUGCAUGAUCCAAUUAUUUAUUAAAAUUCAUAAACCACUGCCAUGCAAGCUUUUAAAUCACCACAAUUUCAUUCAUAUACCAAAUAAUGUGUAGAAAUAUUUUUCCAGUGACUAAACAUACAUGCAGAGCUAGCAAAACAAGUUUCACAUUUUUUUGAGUCUUAUUUUAAUUACUAUGCAUUUUCCAAAUUCAACAAAACAUGGAUUAAUUAUUUCUGUCCAGAAAAAGUGUUCAAACAUGACAUGCAAUCUAACCAAACUGCAGAUCUGAGACUCUAGAACACAUCAAAAUUUAUUUCAUGAAUUUUGGAGCUAUGGAUCUCAAGAUAUGAAUUUUUGAACAUUUAAACCAUUUUCUAGAAAUCAUUUUUCUGAAAAACAAAUCAAAUCCACCCCGGGACCGGCUAGGUGCACCCGGUGCAGUGCACCCGCAGCCGCUGACGAGCGGACCCGCCUGCCAGCCGGGCCCGCUGGCCAGAGCGCAGAGGGGGGAGAGCUCCGGCGAGCCGGAGCUCACCGUCGGCGACCUCUUUCGGCGAAUCAAGCGGCCCUACACGCUCUACGGCUCUAGGCGAACCUAGCGCACCCUUUUGUGCGGCCUGAAAUGGACCGGAGCAGGCUCACCACCGACCAUGGCGGAUCGGCGGCGCUGCUCACCGUCGUCUCGAGACGCUGGGCCGGUAGACAGCGGUUGGAGUGGCUCGCGAGCAUCGCGGUGCCAAGGCGAGCACGACGCGCUAACUAAGCGGCACCGGGAGGCACGGAGGCAAGCAGACCACGUGCGCGGCGGCGGCGCUCUCGACGGAGAAGAAACGAGGGCGAGCGGGGCUCACCGUGCCUCACCGAACGCUCGGACAGGUGUUCGGGAGAGAACGAAUCGAAGAAUGGCACACGCGCUGGGGGAGAACGGCCGAGGCGGAGCUCGGGCUCCAAUGGCGAUGGCGGUGCUCUGCGCGUGCGGAGCGAGGGCGAGAGAGCGAGAGCUGACGGGCGCGAAUGGCAGCAAGGGCGGAGGCGGGCGCGGCCGAGCGCUCCUGGUGGCCGACCAGGGCGCGUCCAGGCGAUCGCAUGCUCGCCACGCGGCAGCCGAGUUCUGCGGGCUCGCCACGGCGGCGCGGCCGUCCGCGCGCGGACACGGCGCGGGCGCGAGCGCGGGCGCGGGGAAGGGGAGAGCGCGGGCGGGCUUGGGCCGGCUUCGGCCAGCGGGCCAGAAGUGAGGCCGCGGCCUGCUAGCGCCCCCUUUUCCCUUUUCUAUUUUUUUAAAAUUCUUUUCUCAAGCUCUUUUUAAAUUCAUUUGGACCACUUUAAAUUUAUUUUCACCUUUCUCUCCCAAAAUGAAAAUUGUUCUAAAUCACAAACCCUACAACUUUGUUUUAAGUUGCAUUCACAAAUUCCAAAUAGAUUUUUAAAUACAACUCAAACUAGUGAUAGGUUUUUAAAUAAAUGUAUUUUCGGGAAUUUAGUACAAAAAUCAAUUUCUCAAUUUCUAUGGCUCUAAAAAUUGCACAAAAAUACUCUUAAUUCUUUUUGCACACAAUUCAACCUAGUUUGAAUAUUUCACAAUUUUAGAAGCAAGCAUCAUAUUUUUAACAUAUUUAAAUCACAUAGAAUAAAGCACAUAAAAUCACAGUUUGGAUGGAUGACAUGCUCAUGUGAUGCUAUGCUUGAUGAGAAUGCUUAUGAAUGUUUUGAUAAGACUAAGUCCAUGCUUAACACCUAGGGUGUUACAGCGCCCAGGUCCUCAGGGCGGGUGCCCUGGGCCUGGCCCCUUUCGGCCUCUGCUUUCUUCCCGUGGCUUCUGGAGUCUUCUAAAUGGUAGAAAAUUUCGCGCUGCGUUGAUAUCUCUAUGUAAUCCUAACAUGUGGGCCUUUCUUCCUUAUUUCCUGAUAACCCCUGCAGAAACAGAUAAACAAAACUCGUAGAAUUCUGUCAGAUCAAACCCUAAUUCUAGGUGUUGGUUGCAUAUUGGUCCUUUCUCUUGUUUAUUUGAUAAUUAAAAUUGAUACUUAAGAACCGUAAACAAAUACCCCCAUACUUAGGCUUUUACUCGUCCUCGAGAAAAGGAUGGUUAAGAACAAUAUUUGGGGUAAAACAUUCUUUUCAUAACUGCAGGGUGUUAAAAUUCCACUGUGUACUAUAGUCAGGGAAGUAUAUAGUUAAGAGUAAAGAUCCUUUCUUCUCAAUCUUGUCACUUGGAGUUUUUGUAUAUUUUUGAAAGAAAGUUAGCAUACCUUUUUAUCCUCAUAGGUUCUCUCAGAUCACACAUUAUCUUUUAUAUAUCUCACUGAGGUUGUUUUAAUUUGCAAAAAUUCUCAAGCAUACUUACUUUGUAUUUAUUGCCUGAUCAAAACGGGAUCCGAGGAGGGCAAUGUCAUACUCUUAGAUCAAAGACUUUGGAAAUUAAAAUCUUUGUCAACUCUUGCUGGCAUAUUGCUUAUUAGAGGGACCAUGGGCUAUCAUUUUAUUUUUCUCUCUUUUUUAAGUGGAUACCGAGGUACCCCUAAUUCUACUGCCGGACACUUGUCCAUUUUUUUCUACGAGGUUGUCGAGCACUUGCUCCUUUUUAUUUCCUCAAAAUAUCUUUAUUUUUUGCAUAGCCCAUGCCUCUAAUGCAAUAAUACUUGAGAAGAGUGAAUCUUUCUGAAUAAAUGUCUUGAUCAUAGGAGCAUGAUAAAUCUCUCAACAAGGGUCUAACUCAUUUUGAACAAACUCAAUACAGAGUAGAUAGCUUUUAUAAUGAUAAUUAAUAUUUUCAGUUUUAUCAGGCAUAUAAAACACUGAGGAUGGUAGCUAGAAUUAAUUUUGAAAUAAAUUUUCCAAGCAACAAUGAUAUCAAGAAUAAGAAACUCGUACUCUACCAUCUCACAUUCCAUACUAUCUUAAGUAACACAAGUUUUUUUUUAAAAUGAUUUUAUAAUAGUUACAAGUUUCAGGAAAUAUCACAGAAUGAGAUUAAUCAUGAUUAGAAAUAUUUUAAUCUUUUUAAUUUAUCAUGUCGGAAACAGUAUUCUGCAUAAUCCAAGAUAUGUGUAUGUGUAAAGUAAAGUGUGCAGAGUGUGUACCUGAAUCGUGGAGUGGUGUAGUCAAAGUGUGUUUGGCGUGUCGAGGGAUCUCCCCCAUACUUGUUUUCUGCUUUCUUGCACAAAAAAUAAAGUAGAGACACACAAGACAUAAUAAUAAUAAUACUCUUUAUUAACCUUGAGGCAUUUAUUACAAAAGACUAGUAGUAAACUGAUAGCAAACUGAUGAUAAUAGUAAACCUAAACCGAAUUUAAAGAUAGAUAACUAAGAUGCAUUUGCCUCAAGGCCUAAUCUAGAUAAUUUAGUGGCGCUCUAAUUCCUUAAUCUUCUUGUUGGCACUGGCAAGAUCAUGCCUAAGGCCUAGUAUAACAGUGUUGUGGUUAGAGAGUUGCCUAGUGAGGAAAUUAAUCGAGGACUGGAGGUCUAUGAUAACUCUGUCUAGUCUGUGAACGUCCUCAUCAAUAUCUAUUAUAGUUUUGCGACGCUUGGGCGGUGUCUCAAAAGCAUUGAGAGCGUGCUUCGGGGCUGCCUUUGGAGGGAUGAAACGGACUUUGGCUGCUCUAAUCCCUUCGAAGUAAGGCCUUUCCUCCUCCGUAGUGUAGCGAAUACUGCUGAUCUCGCCGCUCCGGUUGGUCUUGACUCCAACGACCCUCUCAUUGGGCCUAGGUGGAAGGAUCCUUGUGCCGGUUGGCACCUUGAUGGUGGUCUUCGUCUUGGAUGAUGAUCCCUUGAGGAGUAGGGGUUGUGGUGGUGCGGUGAGAACUGGUUGAGCAUGGUAGGAUUGGGCGGAGCUACGUUGGCAUAAUGGCAUCGCUUCUAGCUGUCGCUCUGUGUUGGCCGGGACGAGAGCACGGGCAUCGGGGUCUUCCACAGGCUCCCUGUUGAGGUUGAUGGGGAUGACUUCCCAAUCAUCGUGGAAGUUCUCAGCCAUUGGAGCAGCAAGGAACUAAUCAAGCUCUAAUUGAAGAAGAAGAGAAGGCUUGGUGGUUUGGUGUUUGAAAACUGAUGUCAGGGGUCUGUUUAUAUAGGGGUCAAAAAGUGCCUCUAGGGGUUCUUCGGGUUGCUCCCGUCGAUGUGUGUGCAAAACUUUCCAUUUGAGGGAUUAUUCGGAUUACCAUAAGUGCAUUUUCUAUAACAGAGAAAAUCAGGACCGAGGGGGAACAGGAGUUGGGCGCGCGCCCACCUGAUCUGGGCGCCCGCCCUCUCUCUGGCCCCUCUAUGGACCCACUUUCUUGAGCGCGUUUCUAGAUGCAAAACUAUUUAGAAAUAUAUAUAUGACCCAAAAACAUCAGACUAAAAAAAGUCGGGCUCUAAUUCUCCAUGGGAAGGUAAAAAUGGACUACAUCUAUUUCUUCUAAUUCUUUAUUGGGCUCUAAAAAUAAUUUAAGACGUUGACCAUUUACCUUGAAUAACGUACCUUCGUCAUUUUGAAGUGUGAUAGCUCCGUGGGAUGAUGAAUUAAUUACAUUGAAUGGUCCUUCCCAUUUGCUCCGGAGUUUCCCGUGCACAAAAAGCUUCACCCUAGAAUUAAAAAGUAAUACCUUAUCUCCGGGUGUGAACUCCUUCUUCUUGAUUCUCUUGUCAUGCCACCUUUUGACUCUUUCUUUGUAGAUCUUUGAAUUGUGAUAUGCUUUAUCUCGCCAUUCUUCCAAUUCUGAUAGUUGCAUUCUUCUAUGAUCUCCAGCAACGUCUAGGUCCAUAUUCCAUAUCUUUAUGACCCAGUGUGCUUUGAACUCUAGUUCAACAGGUAGGUGGCAAGUCUUCCCGUACACCAAUUGGUAUGGAGAUAUUCCAAUUGGGGUCUUGUAUGCUGUCCGGUAUGCCAAGAGUGCAUCGGGUAACUUGUCUUUCCACGCCGUUCCCAUUUCAUUUACUGUCUUCUGAAGAAUAUUCUUGAUUUGCUUGUUGGAAGUCUCUGCUUGGCCACUUGUCUGAGGAUGAUAGGGGGUAGCGACGUUGUGACGGAUUCCAUGUUUUGAUAGAUAUUGCUUGGAGCGUUUGUCGAUGAAGUGUGCUCCUCCAUCACUUAUCACUACUCUGGGCACUCCAAAUCUUGGAAAUAUAAUUUCUUCAAACAUCCUCUUUGAACUGAUGUUGUCGGCAUGCUUGCAAGGUAAUGCCUCUACCCACUUGGAGACAUAGUCAACCGCCACCAAGAUGUACACACACUUCUUUGAUGGAGGAAAUGGACCCAUGUAGUCUACUCCCCAAACAUCAAAGAGCUCAAUCUGAAGGUUGUUGGUGAGUGGCAUUGCAUCCCUUGUAUUUAUGUUCCCGUGCCUUUGACAUGGCCCACAUCUUCUGAUAUAUUGCUUCGUGUCUUCAUACAUUGUAGGCCAGUAGAAUCCACACUGCCAGAUCUUUGAAUGUGUACGGAAUGCUCCAUAGUGACCUCCAUAUGGUGAUGAAUGACAUCUGUCGAUGAUCUUCCAUCCUUCCUUAGUGGUCACACAUCUCCUGACUAAGCCAUCAGAGCAUACUCAGAAGAGGUAUGGCUCAUCACAUAUAUGUGAACGACUUUCUUGAAUAAGCUUCUUCUUGUUUGCUCCUGUUGGUACAUACCCUGAAACCAUAAAAUUAACAAUAUCUGCAUACCAGGGGUCAGAUCUGUUAAUCCCGUAGAGCAUGUCGUCCCGGAGUGAAUCAUUGAUGGGGGUUUCCUGUGGACUCUUAAAAUACAUUCUAGACAAGUGAUCAGCAACAGAAUUUUCAACUCCCUUUUUAUCUUUUAUUUCUAAGUCAAAUUCUUAGAGUAAUAAGAUCCAUAUAAUCAGGCGAGGUUUAGCAUCUUUUUUAGUGAGCAAAUAUUUUAGUGCAGCAUGAUCAGUGUAAACAAUUAUUUUAGCUCCAACUAAAUAAGAUCUAAAUUUAUCAAUGGCAAAGACAACAGCCAGAAGCUCUUUUUCAGUGGUUGCAUAAUUAAGUUGAGCUCCUGUCAAAGUUUUACUGGCAUAAGCAAUGGCAUGAUGCUUCUUAUUUUUAGUUUGUCCCAAAACUGCCCCCACAGCAUAAUCACUGGCAUCACACAUAAUUUCAAAAGGCAACGACCAAUCAGGGAGUUGAAUGAUUGGUACAGAGAUGAGUGCUUUCUUUAAUAAAUUGAAAGAUGUUAGACAUGCAUCAUCAAAUUCGAAAGGAGCAUCCUUGGCUAGCAAAAGAGUAAGUGGUCUAGCAAUAAAUGAUAAAUCUUUUAUGAAUCUACGAUAAAAACCAGCAUGGCCAAGAAAGCUUCGAAUUCCUUUUAUAUUCACAGGUGGAGGUAGUUGUUCAAUUACUUCAAUUUUAGCUUUAUCUACCUCAAUACCUCUUUCAGACACUAAGUGUCCCAGCAUUAUUCCUUCCCUCACCAUGAAAUGACAUUUUUCCCAAUUAAGGACUUAGUGCUUUUCUUCACAUCUUUGCAAAACCUUGUCUAAGUUUUCAAGACAACUAUCAAAAGUUUUUCCAUAAACAAAGAAAUCAUCCAUGAAAACUUCCAUAAUCUCUUUAAUCAUAUCAUAAAAUAUAGACAUCAUGCAUCUUUGAAAAGAAGCUGGUGCAUUACAUAACCCAAAAGACAUUCUACGGUAAGCAUAAGUUCCAUAUGGGCAUGUAAAAGUGGUUUUGCUUUGAUCAUCGGGAUGGAUCGGGAUCUGAUGAUACCCUGAAUAUCCAUCUAAGAAACAGAAGAAUGAAUGGUUCGGUAACCGCUCUAGCAUCUCAUCCAUGAAAGGUAAAGGAAAGUGAUCCGUUCUCGUGGCUUUGUUUAGUUUUCUAUAGUCUAUGCACAUCCGCCAUCCUGUGACGGUGCGUUGCGGAAUUAGCUCGUUCUUUUCAUUCAUAAUAACAGUCAUGCCUCUCUUUUUAGGCACAACUUGAACUGGGAUUACCCACUCACUGUGUGACACAGGAUAUAUAAUCCCUGCAUGCAGCAACUUUAUAACUUCCUUUUUAACUACCUCUCUCAUAGUGUUAUUAAGUCUACGUUGGGGUUCUCAAGAAGGUGAAACAGAAGGAUCUGUUGGAAUAUGAUGGGUACAAAUCAUAGGACUGAUUCCUAUAAGAUCUUGGAGUGAGUAGCCAAAGACUGAGUGAUGUUUCUCAAGAAUGGUCAUCAAUCGCAGAGUUUGCUCCCGAGUGAGUUUAUCGCUAAUGAUCAAAGGAAACUCUGGAUUAUUGUUUAGGAAAGCAUAGAUAAGACCGGGUGGUAAAGUUUUAAGCUCUAUGGGGGGUCUAGGUGUUUCUGCAAACUCAUCUAAGGGUUUAGGUUCAGAAGGUUCGGCUUCUUCUUCUAUGAAGAAAGGAGUUUCGUCUUCUAAGUCUCAUUCUUCUAAAAGUUGAAGAGAUGCAACCUUUACCUCCUCCAUAAGAUCAGGCAAAAGAUAUGACUCGGCCUUAUUAUUUAAGGAGUGUGAAAUUGUUAUUGGGAAUUUAAAGGCUUUUCCAAAAGAAAUGUGUAGCUUUCCAGUAUGACCUUCAUAAAGGAGUCUUCUAAAAGGUUGUCCUAUCAAUAGGUCGAAGUCCCAUGUAUCAAAGAUAUAGAAGUUCAAAUGAACCAUGGAGCCUUCUACCGUAAGAGGUAGGACAUUAAUAAUUCCAAGACUGGGGACUAAUCGUCCCGAAGAUUCCUUUAUGACCUUUGUUGUGGGUGUUAAGACAAGAUUUUUAAAUAGUUUAAGUGUAAAAGAUUCAGACAUGAUGUUGAUCCCCACAACAGGAUUAUAAAGAGCAUUAAAUCGAUCAGAAUUAUAAGCACAGCGUAUAGUUAUAGAGGGUGUGUCCAAACGGAUCACGUCAGAGGAAAGCUCUGAUUCCUCCAACCAUUCGCUACUCAUGACUGAGAUAAGCUCUCUCAAUUGAUAUUCACUUGGCAAAUAAAUGCUAAACUGGUCGUUUUGGGGUUUGUCAAUAGAAUGGUAGUUUGAAAUGUUUCCAAAAUCGGCAAAAAUAUCGGAUUCUAUAUCCAGCAUGAAGUUCGGUGGUGGAAUUUCUUCCUCUUGUGGCUCAGAACAUGGGAUAGCUAAAGUAGAUGAAGAAUUUGGUAGAGUGUCUACUUCGGCUUCGUAGGUUUCAUCAUGAAGGCUAUUAUCCAUCUCAGCUUCUAGGAUUCUAUCUAGGAUCACUCUAGCUUCAUCAGUAGGGAUGCGAAAGAAAGAACCUCUAGACAUUGUGUGUAGCAUUUGUUUGUGAUUUUUCUGAAGACCUCGAAAAAAGUGAAAUAAAAGAACAGGGUCUUCAAGAUUAAGGUUUGGACCAGAUUCUAAAAGAUCAGAACAACGUUUCCAGGAUUUUCCCAAAGUUUCAUUAUCUUUUUGUUUAAAAGAUAGGACUUCGAGUCUAAGGUCGGCUAUACGGUCGAGGGAAUAGAAAUAUAGACAAAGUUGGCUCGUAAAACUCCCCAUUCACCUUGUUGUUGACUUACCUUCUGACUGUACCAUUGUCUAGCUUCUCCCCUUAAAGAAAAAGGAAAAAGCUUCCAACGUAAAGUUUUAUGAGAAAUGCCUUCAAUGCGAAGACAAUCACAUGUUUGCUCAAAAUCUCUAAUAUCAAGGUAAGGGUUUUCGUCUUCCUUUCCCAAAAAAGAUAGGUUUUGAUUCAUGGCAAUCAACCUAGAACUUAAGUUAUACUGGGAUGUUUGGAUAGGCUGUGAUGAUUCCCAUGGUAAAAGGUCAGUUACUGAAGGGAUUGCAGAUUCAUGGAUCGAUUUAGAAUUUUGGUUUUCCAUAAGGUAAGAGUAAAGAAACUAUAAAUAAUAUAAAAGAUAAGAAAAGAUAAAAGUAUAGAUACAAGCUAGUAGUAACACUCAAGGUUAUCUCAGCAAACCGUCUUUCUCUCCGGCAACGGUGCCAGAAAUGCUCGUUGAUAUUUGGGAACACAUUAAGGAAUUGAUCCGCAAGCGCACGGAUAUCGGUGAGCACUUCACCCGGGAGGUUAUCCUGAGUAUCGUAUUUAUUUUUUUACCACUAGAAGAAAGAGUGCAUCUGACUAACCUGGUCUAUUACUACUAACCCUUUAGGCAACAAAGAAUGUUUGUCGAUGUGAGUGAUAAAUAGAGAAGACUGCAACUGUAGUCUCCUUCUAACAUUGGUAAGGAUGAUCUACUGUUCUAUUGGGGAGGCUAACGGAAUCUAGACACGACAAAGGAUGUUCAACCCACACCUAUAAACCCUAUCCUUCCUGCUAACGAGAUAUGGUCUGCAAAGGUAACUCCAAAUUGUCACGUUCCUCACUACUACCAUGGUCUAGCUAGUCAGGGAAUAUCUAUGAGUACCCCAGCCUAAACACCAUGUUUACGCCAGCAAUGAUUACUCUAAACUCUACGUGAAGAGAUUAAAGUAAACUUAUAAACCAAAAGAACAAUAAAACAAGAACUUACUAGAAUUUAGAAGUCGAAAUACUGAAGAAUCCUAGGAGCAAGCCUCGGGUUAGGAGAACUUGAUCCCGUAGGUACAAGCUCGGAGCAGACACCGACAGGCCAGGCUUCCUCCAAUCUACACCUCCAAUCUAUCUCUCUCAAUCUAGUAGAAACUAGAAGAUCUAUUUCUACUUACAUUGGUUGCUAAGCCUAAAAAGAAAUUUUAUUUAGAGAAGAGGUUUUCCUUUGAGGGCACCCCUCAACUCUAUGAUAACUUCUUGUCUCCUCCGGGGGCCAGGGGGGCCUCCUUAUAUAGUCCUCCUCCUCUAUGCAUUUCUGGGUCGGUAGGCGAUGUGGUACUACGUUAUCCUUGAUCCUUUAGGUCGGUGGAACAUCUUGUGCGAAGAGAGUCCUGAUUGGCAUCCAGAGGGGGGCGGGUGCCCAGGUCCUCAGGGCGGGCGCCCUGGGCCUGGCCCCUUUCGCCCUCUGCUUUCUUCCCGUGGCUUCUGGAGUCUUCUAGAUGGUAGAAAAUUGAGCGGUGCAUUGAUAUCUCUAUGUAAUCCUGACAUGUGGGCCUUUCUUUCUUAUUUCCUGAUAACCCCCUGCAGAAACAGAUAAACAAAACUCGUGGAAUUCUAUCAGAUCAAACCCUAAUUCUAGGUGUUGGUUGCAUAUUGGUCCUUUCUCUUGUUUAUUUGAUAAUUAAAAUUGAUACUUAAGAACCGUCAACAUAGGUGUUCUUUCCACUCUUCCCACCACUGUUUGUAUGCUUGAGUGAUGAAGAGGGCCAGGAUCCAAGCCGAUAGAUCAAUAUCUAACGUAUCAGCAUUUGGUUGAAGCUAGGCUAUCCUUAUCCAUUCAAGUCCGCUGGUUAUAGUUUCCCUUGGCUUCACCACAUCGGCAUAACAGAGUCCAAUCGGCAACUGCCCAAAAUCCAGUUGACGAGCCAGUGCCGAUGGGUUAUAGAAUUCAUAAGUGGGGUUGGAAUUCUUCCCACUGUCAAAGGUAUUCACUGGAAUGGCCCUUGGUGUGAUGAUUGCUAUCAUCAAAUCGGUAUCUUUGCUGAGAGCGUCAUCGAAAGGGUGGAAAAUCAGUGGGAAUCUGGUUUCUGGAUCUUCAUAAGGCAUCCAUGCCCACUGAUCCUUGGGAAGACCCUCAUACAGAGUCUGGAAGAAUCGGCUGACCUGGUCUUCAUUGCCGCCAGUACCAUGUAAGACUAUAGCAGUUUCGUCGAAAUUUAGGGGUCGACGAGUUGCCGAUUCUUCAUCGGCUAAUUCAUAGUCUUCGGUGAUAUCUCUGAGGAACUGUUGUGCAAAAAGGUCGAACCGAAGACGUUUGUGCAUGUGGACAUUUAGCCACAUGUUGAUAAACCACUAAGGACCUCCUAGGUUGCCGAUGGGUUGGCCCAAUAGGAGCUUCUGAGCUACUUGAUGAAGGAGGUGAUAGGCAGAGCUGAACAGGUAUCGGCCAAGAGGAAAUUGGCCGCCGUCGGCUAAUCUCUCUGCUGCCGAUAAGUAGACAGAGGUUGGUCCUACCGAUCCGCCAAAGAAAACAAACUUAUCCAGCCACAUAUUCAGGAAAAUGGCAUGUUCCCUCUGCCCAACUAGUCCUGUGCUCUGGUACUUCUGAAUGUACCGUAACCAACCACUGAUAUUACGGGUUUCUACUUUGCGCUCAGGUUUACGAUCGUAUAGGUGGCUAUCAUCAACAGAGGUUAUGACUAAACCAGUAAGCAUGAGCACAUCGGCAAGAGUAGGUGAAGCAGGGCCAUGGCCAAGUAAGAAAGCAUUGAGGGUAUCUGACCAGAAGUAUGAAGCUGCUAUCAGUAGUGAUUUGUUUCUCUCCAUAUCGGCAAUGGAUAGCCUGAUGCACUGGUCUAUUUUACGCUCUCCCCAUCGGACUUCAUUUGAGUUGCCGAUUCUCAGAAACCAAUCUUUCCACCCCUUAGUAGAACAAGGCUAGGAUCGAAAGGUGUCUUUCCACAGAUCUAAUGAAAAGUUCUAAACUCUAAUGGGGAUCCUAUUGGUUUCUGCAUUUAUCAAGUCAGUAGGAUCCGAGUUGCCUAACGGCCCAAGACAUUGAAGAUGGGGUUGUUCUGUGGGAAUCACAAUUUUAUCGGCCAAUUCCUAAAAGUUUGAAGGUUGGAAGAACAAAAAAGAAGAAGAGAAAGAACAUACUCAGUAAAUAGAUUUCGGAAAAUAAAAGUACGACCAGAAAAAAGGGGAGAUGAAGACAAUGAAGUUGGCGGCCAUUUUCUUCCCGGGGAAGGAGAGGAUCGACGGAUUGAAGAACUAAUGGGGCUCGCUAUAGUUCUUAGGCUCCUCGAACAAUGCCGCCGCCAGGAAGAUGGGUUUGGUGAAUGUAGAAUGGCAUGGUGGAGGAAGAGUGCUGAAGAAGGAAGUAUUUAUAGCACAAAGAGGGUAGGGGCAUUUCUGACUUAUCUCUUUGCCGUAUUCGUGAAAAUCGUGGGUGUUCAGGUGGAUAUGGUAACUGUUCGCACGAUAAUCAAGGGAUUGUGCCGUUGAUUUGACAAUAAGCGGUCAUGAUUUUGGGAGAUGUUCCACUACACAAGAUCUCCUGGUCGUCCCAUCGGCAAACCUUUCUAACGGAAACAUUGCCGAUGAACGUAUAUUGGGAAGAUUCGGUUCGAGAAGUUGAGAGAUUUGUGGUGCGUGCUGGAAGACCGGGCUAAGGUUGUUUCGAUUUGGUAAUUAAUUACUGAUAGGAAGGAGUAAUUGCGGAAAAACAUCAUUACUGAAGAGAAUUUCGAAGCAUUAAUGAUUUUAUACUCCGAAAUUGGGGGGCAUGUGUUGACAUCAUUUUUGGACACGUAUCUUUGGACACGUAUCUAAGAUUUAAUGAGGCAUGGAUCGGCAGGUGAAUAAAGUGGUGACUGGUUGAUAGAAGAGUUGCCGAUGAGGGUUGAUACCGAUGAUGAAACAACAUAAUACGGCCAAUUCCAGGAGUGGUGAUGGGUCUAUGCUGAUGAUUGAUGCUGAUAGUUGCCGAUAGGUAAUUUGCCGAUGGACAAAAAAGGAGGUGCAGGAAUUGUCGAUCGGAUGGUGUUGAUGUGCCGAUCGGUCGUGGUGGAUAGAUUAAUGUUUUCCAUAGUUGUUAGAGUUUGGUUUGCAUAGGGAUUCCAUUCAAUUUGGGAUUCGAGUCUUAGUCGUGUCUGAUUGUAACUCUUUUGGACAGGGUAUAAAUGUAGACCCCAUAGCGAUGUAAGAAAUAUACACAAUCAAUCAAACACAAGUUUUUACAUCUAUUCCAGCAUCUACUUUUUCGACGACUUCGUCAACUUACGUAUUUUCCUUUUACUUACGAGUUCUUAGGAGUUUAUCGAGUCAAUGUUGAUGAGUUCUCGAAUUCCGCGUGAAUACCUCUUGGCCGUGAGAUCUAGGCGCAUCGCUGUUGUCGGGACCAAAGUAUUCAAGUUAUCACCUUUGUCGAUUGUAAGGUCAAAUCGGCUGGCACGCCUUAACGUUGAAUCGGGUAUUCGCCCUUUGUUUUGCAGAUCUACUUUUGCACCAACACCUAGUUACUCCAUGAUUGUACAAUGUUUGUCAGAUAAAAACGAAUGUGCUACAGUGUCGAAAUUCAAAAAUUUUUGCAAACUGAACAAGACCUUAGUUCACCAAAAACCAAAAACUUUUCAACAUUUUCCGUCAUAUUGAAUCUUGUUGUACAUGCAUGAUGCAUUAAAUAUAAAUGAAAAUAAAAAUUAAUUACACAGUUUAAAACCACAAGAUGAAUCUUUUAAGCCUAGUUACUUUAUGAUUAGAUAAUGUUUGUCAAAUAAAAAUGAAAGUACUACAGUGCGAAAAACCAAAAAGUUUUCGGAGGCCUACCACUUGCAGUAGCAGACGGCAGCACUCGCAGCGCAAGGAGGCGAAGCAAAGAGAAACCCGCCAUGAUGGGGGGCAGGGAACGCCUAACCCACCAUGUAUCAUGGAGGCGUACACGUCAGCAGGGCCUGGUGCUGUUGCCACGUGGCAGUUUUAUCCCGCCGCCAUGCAUGGCGAGGUACAGUUCUUUUGUCCCGCCAUGCAUGGUGGCGGAGCCAAACUGGCUAGUCUUAAAAAUAAUUUCAAAACCGGAUCAAAUUUGAAAUAUGUUUUGAAUUUAGGCUAAAAAGAAAAAAAUAUUGAGUGGUUUGGGGUUGGAGUAGGGAAACUGAGGACAAGUUUAGGGUUUUAUAAUUUUAUAUGAAAAUUUUCUUAUUCUAACGAAUCACAACCGUUGAAUCGAUUUGGACGGCUCAGAUCAGCUGUGCAUAAGGGUUUUCCCUGCUGGGCUAUUUUGGGCCUUGAAGGGAGACAACUCGGCCUCCUAGCAAGCCGCGCACAGCGGUCCAGUGGGCCGCGCGCAGCAGACUAAUGGGCUAGUUUCGCAUUAUUUUUUUUGAAUUUAAUUUUCCUUAUUAUUUUCCAUCAACAUUAUUUUUUAUGUAAUUUUAUAAUUAUGUUAUGUCAUUUAUGAUUUUAUUUAUAUAAAUUUGUGCACUGAGAAUUAUUUAAGGUUGACUCAACUAAAAGCAGUCCACGAUCUCACAUUUAACUUUUGGCUACAGUUGGGCCUAUAUAUUUUGAGGCCAAACUAAGAUUUGUUUUAAGAAUAUAAGUUUCCGUUCCUAUUCAUUAUAAGAGUUUUUUACAGUGUUAUAAUUGUGUUUUGAGUUUUAAAAUGCUCUCCUUAUAUUCAGUUUUGGCUUUAGUUUAUUUUCAGCAACUUUAUUAUAUUACUUUAAGUAUUAAGUAUAUAUAAGUUUAAUGCCAUCAUGAUGAUGUAUAUUCCCACCACAUAUAAAUUUAUGUAUUUUUUAAGUAUUAUUUAAGUUACUUUAAACGUGUUAUGGGAAUAUGUUGCUGAUAAUAUUUAUGAUUAAGAAAUUUACUUUUCUUUGGUGCAUUUUACUCGGUUGACUUUUAGGCACUAAGAGUAAGUACUAAGUCUAAGUUUUAUAUUUUAGUUCCAGCAUUAUUUCUAUGCUUUUAUGAGCUUUUCAUACUUUAACUAAUAUUCUAAUAUUAGUAUUUUUAUACAUAUAAAUAUAUCCACCAUUGUAUAUAAGAUGGUCUUUGGUUAAAUGGAACCAACAAGGCUCAUAAUUAAUUUCUGACCAACGUUGACUUUAAUUAUGAGUUAUUAAGAUGGAUUUUAUUUUGCUUCUGGCCAACGGUGAUGCAAAUUAAAGUCUUUAUGUAUGUUGUUAAUACUGACCAACGUUGUUUUAGCUUCAUGCUUUAAGUAUAUCUUAUAUACAGCUUGCUAAUUGAGAUGUUAUUUUGCUUCAAAUUUUUAGUAAAUUGUGUAGACAAUUUAAUUAAGAUAGAACCCUUAAGUUGCACUAAUUUUCCUAUUUGGAAUAAUCAGGUGCUUGCCAUUCUCAAGGAGCUGGACCUUGAUUAUGUGCUUUAUGAGGUAAAACCAAGUGCUCCUUCUCUCAUUAGUUUAUAUUAUGAUGAGAGGAUAAAGGAGUAUAUCCUAAAAUUAGAAAAGUGGUAGAAAUCUGACUAGAUUGCCAAAGUGAUCAUACAAUGGUCACUCUCACUUAACAUGAUAUGAAGGUUUCUUUGUUCUGAAGAGAACAGGAACUUAAGUGUACAAUAUUAUUUCGAGUAACAACACUUCAAAUGUUGGUGCCAAGCACAUUGUUUAAAUGUUGUGAAAGAAAGAACCAAGAUCAAUUAUUUAUUAAGUAUAAGAAAGUAAGAACUAAGUUAAUGCUAAUGCAUCUCGUUAUUGAGGCUUAAACACUUAUCCCUUUUAUGAGCGCGCAAAAUCAUUUUGUGUUUUUAGUGUAGCCUUUAACUUGAUUCCUGGUAAUAGGGCCAUGUACUCCCAACAAGUAAUAAGCGUUUUUACGAGGUAUUGCAGUGAACUAUGGGCAAUGGUGUCCCAUGUUGGGUAUUCUAAACAUCAUUACGAAAAGUAGACAGUUUUCUAAUUCUAGUAACGGUGCCAAAAAUGCCAAACCUAUCCCUCAUACCACUUAAGCCAAGUUGUCAUCCCCAGCAUGACAUGAGAGACGCGGUAUUGAAAUAUGCAAUUGCUCUUCUAAAUAAAUAAUGAAUGGAAUCUGCAAGCGCAUAGAUUAAUACUGAUGUAGCAUUUUAACCGGGAAGUAUUCCAGGUAUCGUUAUUUAUAUUUUUACCACUGGGAAGGGAUUAGCAACCAUCAAUAUUGAUUAUAGAAUAGAAUAUGAAAUUGAGUAUCUAUCAUUGCAUAUAUAAUUGAGAACAUUUAUCUAACUCUUUCAUAAGGGGUAAGUGUCACAUAAAGGAUAUAUAAAGUAAUGAAUAGUGACAAAGAUAAUUAGUCUGAUCAGCAUAACUUAACCACAUAAUAAAUAUGAUAAGCACCUCAAUUAGAUAAUCUAGAAAGUCAUUAGCAUGGUAUUAGAACGAACUACAAGAAUAUUUCCUAAGUUAUUCUCAACUACAUAGUCUAGCAUUAUCAUAGUUAGUGCAAGCAUACUUAGCAAUCAUUGCGAGACAAGACUACGCCCAUGCAUAGUGAUAUUAGCAAGGUAAAUGAGAAACAUGGCAAUCACUCCCCUGUAAUAAUGUUGCUCUGCCAGCCCAAUACACGAGAGGGGGACUAUAUAAGAAUCAAUGAAAGUGUCAAUAUCACGAACUACCCCGCGAUCUGGCAUAUUGGGUACAAUCGCAGAUAAAAACGGUAUAAGCACCACGCCUACACAAUAUCUAUCAUUUACCCAUGGAUCUGAUGGAUAAACGCUAUAUGAUCCUAAGCAUGUAUAUAGAUCCAAUCUAACUAAGCCAAGUACAUAACUAUGAUAAACUAAGAAAAAUAUAAUCUUGAAUAUAAACAAGUAGAGCAAUGUCAUAAGUAAUAUAUUGAAGUAGAACAAAGUCAUAUUCGUAAUAUUGAAGAACAAAGAUGAUUAGAAGAACAAUUAGAGAAUUACCAAGAAUCCUCUUGACAGAUCUGGAAACCAAUCGAGGAUUGACUCCUUCUAGUUCUAAUCCUAUAUAGCUAUGAUAAUCUAGAUGUCUAAUUGAUGUGGUGGCUCUAGGCUUGAUCAGAGGCUUCUUCUCCCUUUGAGGAAUAAUGAAUUAGGGUUGAGAGGCUUCCUCCUCCAGGGGCCAGGGGGUCUGGUUUUAUAGUCCCUUCAAGUGAAUAUGGGCCGUUGGAUCAAACCGAUAUUGAUUGAACGGUUAUUCUUGAUCCUUUAGGUCGGUGGAGAUUAGUCCCGAAGGAGAGUCCUGAUCCAACUCAGAGAGGGGGCGGGUGCCCAGGUCAACUGGGCGGGCGCCCAGUGCCUGGCCCCGUUCGGCCUCCGCUUCCUUCCCGUGGCUUCUGGAGUCUUCUAGAUGUAAGACAAUUGCACGGCACAUUGAUAUCUCUAUGUAAUCCCGACGUGUGGGCCAUUCUUCCAUAUUUCCUGAUAACCCCCUGCAGAAAUAGACAAACACCAAAACUCGUGGGAUUCUAUCAGAUAAAACCCUAAAUCUGGAUGUUGAUUUCAUUUGGACCCUUUUCUUUGUUUAUUUGAUAAUUAAAUUUGAUACUUAAGGACCGUCAACAAACUCCCCCAAGCUUACCUCUUGCUCGUCCCUGAGCAAGGAUAGACUCAGUGAUGGAUCAGAAGUUGUUGUAAUGCCGUUAAAAAUUGACGGUACACAUGCUUUUAAAUAAGAUCUCAUCUUUGAGUUAGAGUAAACUGUCAAGACUUAAAACUUACUUACAUUACCUUUCACCAUGGGACUUGUAACCGUCAAUUUUGUCUUGAGUGGUUAAAAGAUAGAACAGUCUAGUCAAGUGCAGUGGCGAAGCUACAUAAUAAUUAGGGGGUGCAAAUGCACCCCCCAAAAUUUAUAAAAAUAGUGAUUAUGUCCAAAAUUUCACCAUAUAUGCACCCUGUACAGAAGAUACCUAUGCACCCACAAGCUACGUGCACCCCCCUCAAAUUUGCUCUAGCUUCGCCUCUGUCAAGUGUCCUGUCUCUUAUUCUUGAUCAGCUAUAGCUCUGGAGUUUUUGCAGAUUUUCAAAUAAAACUCAGAGAUUCCUUGUAUGACUCUCUUAGAUCUCUCUUUUGUGGUAUUUCUGGAUCCUUACCAAGGCAGUGAUGGUAUAUGCCUUCUCUCAAUAUAUAUGGUAUUUAUGGUAUAAAGCAUAUUGCCCUCUCUCUCACCCUACUCUAAUAAGGCUUUAAUAUCUGGAGCUCAUAGGUGGGAGAUAAAGUAUACAUACUUACAAGACAUUUAUUAUAUAGUCAAACCAUGGAUCCAAAGAAACAAAUCAAUAAGCCAAAUCAAGAUGUGCAUGUGUGGCGAAUGAAUUGUACCCCUAAUUCUACUAUCGGACACUUGUCCAUUUUUACCUCUCGUCUCACUUUUUCUUUCCUUUCGAGGUUCCAGGAAUUUGCCCCUUUUUAUUUCCUCGUAUCUUUUCUUUUUUUUUUCUUCAGAGCACUCAUCUCUUGAGAUAAUAUAGCAAGUGGUAGUAACAAGAUAACUUGAGCAUUUAUUUCACCAGGGAUAAACAGAAAUAUUUUUGGCUAUUCUCUCUCGGAUUAUGAGUAGAAUGUUUUUGGGUGAUUCUGGAGAUGGAAAUGAGUGGAUAUAUGUGGAUGGUACUUCUGGAGUAGAAGCAGCAUGUGUGAGUGAACGUGCAAGUGAAUCUUGAUUUAACCACAUGACAAGCUCCUAAGGGUCUACACAGCUUGACCACACUCAAUGCUCAUAAGCAGUAAAUAGUAAAUGUGUGGCUCAAAGUCUAGCAAGCAUGUAUAUAUGGCUGUGGUAGGAAUUUAAACUCUCAUCAUAAAGGAACUCAUCAUGCAAUAUUUUAAAGAUUUUAAAAAAUAAAAUUCUCCAGAAUUCUAGCAUCUCUAGGAACAGAUAAACAGUAGCUCAACCUUCCCAUAUCGUAUCCGUUAACAACUUAGACUUCAGAUCAAGUUUUCUUCCCACAAGUUCAGGUUUAGAGAAAGCUUUAAAUCAUAACAGUUAUGUCUAAACUUGAGAGAGAACUUCAAAUUUUAAAAUUAGGCAGAACAACUAUUCAUCAUAUCCAUGCUAGAGUUUAUUAUUAAGAUUCAGAUUAGCAUAGCUACUUUAUUUAUUUUUUAAACUAAGCAAAAGAGAUACAUAUAUAUAUAUAUAAGCAUAAAAUCUUUAUUUGGUUUUUCAUAGUUAUGUAUAUUUAAUAUAGUAAAAGUAUAAAGAUAGAUAGAAAUACUUAUCGGGAUAAAUGGGGGUGCUCUCCCCCAAGCUGAAUUUUGACGUAAUGUCUUUUGAUGUAGCUAGCAGGUGGUAGAGGUGUAUUUGAAAGUCGGCAGUAUUCUGACAGCGAUUAGAAUGUCCUCCUUCUGCUAGUCUUCUUGAUUCUUAAAUUCUGUGGAGCUCAAAUAGACAACAAAGCUUUGUGGAACUGAUUAAGUGUUAGCACAAAUAUCUAGUCUUUAUCAUGUUGAGCCUCCUCAAUAAAUGUUACUAUUUUCGUUUUAUAGAGCACAAAAAAUAUUUUUUUGCCACCAUAGUGAUUGUACUUAUGGGUUUUAUGCCACUCGUAUACUCACAUGGGGCUUACUGUUUUUCACAUUUUUAUUUUCUUUUUAUGAUAGUAUGAACAUGAUUAACUAAGAAACUGUUUGAAAUAAUUGAAAGGGAAAGGAUAACUACCAAGUUCACCUCUUGGCAAGGCGUUCGGUGUUUUUAAGUCCUCCGAACGGGACUCUCCGUUUUCUCAGUUGUCCUAGGAUUCGUUAGGUGGCGUAGUCGGUACUUCCGGCAGCGCCUCCUCUUCAUGUAUGGUUAUCUUCUCUCUCCACACCUGACUUGGUGCUACGGUCUCCUCUGGAUAAUUCUGUUUAAAUUGAAAGUAUUCUGACCUUAUCACUUCUCCUUCAUAGUCUGCCCAUCCGUCCUUGAUGAUUUGCCUCCUCUGGUUGCAGUUUCAUUGUUUUCUUACCUGCUUAGAGUCUUCAACGAUAUAGUUAGGGUCAGUAAAAUAGUGGCGUACCUUCUCUGAGGGGAAGUGCAUAUGGACUUCUCCAGUUCCAAUGUAGAUGAUUGCUUUAACAAUGCUGAGGAACGGUCUUCCAAGGAUGAUGGGUGGAUCGUAUUCGUCUUCUCCCAUGUCAAUAACCUAAAAUUCUAUGUAGACAAAAUGAUCGUCUAUUUUGACAGGGACAUCAGUUACUGUUCCUUUAACCUCUCGAAAUGUCUGAUCAGCCAUCAGGUGCUGAAUGUAUGUUGGUUUUAGGGGCAUGGUUCCGAACAAGAGCCGAUAGGUGACUGCGGCCAUUAUGUUGAUGCCCGAUCCGGUGUCACAAGUCGUCUUGUAGAAGUUGUAUCCAUUUAUGGAGUAAUAGAUGCUUCGCAUUCCUGGGUCGUUCUUCUUAGUCAGAAACGGUGACUUAAGUUGAUGAUCUUGACCUCCAUGAACUGCAGUGACCAUCUUAGCUGACUCGGUCCACACUUGCUUGUUCCUGUUCCUCCUGUUGGUCCUCUUCCUUGAUUCACGUCUGGAGUUAUCUGGAAUUUGUGUAAUCUUGUUCUUGAAGGAAAAUGUCUCCUUCCUCCCUUUGAUGUAGAAACUGAUCUUGGCAGCACUGGCGUAGAUGACAGCUCCUAAGGUGUUUAAGAAUGGCCUCCCUAAGAUGAUGGGUGCUCUCUCAUCAUUACCGGUCUCUAUCACCACGAAGUCUGCUAGAGCAUAUAAGGUACCAACUCGGACACAAAGGUUCUUCAAUAUUCCUUUUGGGAAACUUAUCGCCUGAUCUACAAACUGCAAACACAUGGUUGUUUCUAAUAAAGGAUAUGUAAAGAAUUUUUCAUAGAGUAUCCUGGGUAUAAUGUUGACACUAGAGCCAAAGUCGCAGAGUGCUUCUGGGAAGUCCACCAUGCCGAUGGAGAUCGGGAUGACGGGGCGUCCUGUAUCGCCUCUCUUGACCGGCAGAAGGUCAGUAGUGAAUUUAGUGAUGGGGUUACUCCAAUUACCUGCAUCAAACAUGUCUACAAGAUUUGCAGAUUCUAAUCCUUCCGGUUGUGAUGGUAUACCGGGGUUAGUAGUAGGAACAGCAGCAGCUAUUUGAUUUAACUUACAUUCAAUCAUUUUAUUAAAGCUAAUUUGAUUCUUGAUGGCAGUAGAGAAAUUAUCCAUUCUAUUAUUUAUAUUUUCUAGCAUUUUAUCAUUAGAUGCCAAUUUCUUAGAUAGGUUAUCCAUUAACUUUCCUUGAUUAGACACUAACUCUCUCAGAGGUGGAAAAUUAUUAUUAUUGUUGUAAGAUUUGUUACCUUGAUAAUUACCUCAGUAGUUAGGCCUCUGUUGAUUCCAACCUUGGUUUUAUUGAGGACUGUUGUAGUAGUAGUAGUAGUUGUUGUUGUUGAUGUAGUUUACAUCCUCAAGCAUCUCAAGGCAGUGAUUGCCUGAGUGUCCAGUAUCUCCACACUCCUCACAAGUCAUGUGAGAGUCGUAGAUGUGCAUAACUUCCUUCUUAUCUCUAGCUCUAUCGUCGAGCAUCUUCAUGAGCAGGUCUAGCUUUGCAGACAACAUGUCUACCUCCUUGAGCUGAUGCAUACCUCCACCUCUCUUGCGUGUCUGGGUCCUCUCUUCAUUCCAGCUUUGGUUGUACGCCAUCUUCUCCACAAGAGCUGUGGCUUGUGAUAUGGUAAGUGAUAAGAAUGCUCCUCCAGCUGCAGCAUCCAUGGUCUCUCGGGCACUGUUGCCGAGCCCAUGAUAAAAUGUUUGCAUCAGUAGCCAGCUCUCCAUUCCAUGAUGGGGACAUUCUAGGAUGUAGUCUUGGAAGCGCUCCCAUGCUUUUGGAACGGAUUCAUCAUUUUGUUGCUGAAAACUUGUGAUCUUCCCACGGAGAGCAUUGGUCUUGCCCAUGGGAAAGAACUUAGCCAGGAAGUUUGUUGAGCAGAGUGCCCACGUAGUAUUCUUCUCCUUUGUAGCGUAGAACCACUGCUUCGUUCUUCCUAACAGUGAGAAUGGGAAGAGGCGAAGUUGUAUAGCAUCUCUGGGGAUCCUGAUAUGGUAAAUGUGUUGCAAAUCUCCAGGAAGUGUUGGAGAUGAGCACUAGCAUCUUCGUGUGCCUUCCCACAAAACUGGUUGGAUUGCACCAUGUUGAUAAGUCCAGGCUUGAGCUCAAAGUUGCCAUCGAUCUCUGCAGCAGGUCCAGUGCAGAUGUUGUUCGUAGUGGGAGCUGAGAACUCGCGGAUUGAUUUGUUUGCCGUGGCUUCGAACUCUGAAGACAAGUUCCGGUGAUCUUCUUGAUUAGAUGAAGCUUCUUGCUGAAGUGUUGAUGAUCUCUUCUUGAGCUUGGCUCUUGUUUUUCUGAAUAACGCUUCGGGAUUGUCAACAAAAUUUCCUGGAAGAUGUCUUCUAUUCAUACAUCACCCUGCAUAAGAUAAAAUAGAAAAAUAUCGGGGUAAAACUGUAUGGGAGAAUAGAUAAGCUCAAUCAUAUUAGUGAUGCGAAUGAUGACUCGAAAAUCUAUAUCCAUUCCUGAUUAGUAAUCAACCUUCCCGGUAACGACGCCAAAAAUGCUUGUUGGGUAUUCUUAACAUCAUUACCAAAAGUAGACAGUUUUCUAAUUCUAGUAACGGUGACAAAAAUGCCAAACCUAUCCCUCAUACCACUUAAGCCAAGUUGUCAUCCCCAGCAUGACAUGAGAGACGCGGUAUUGAAAUAUGCAAUUGCUCUUCUAAAUAAAUAAUGAAUGGAAUCUGCAAGCGCAUAGAUUAAUACCGAUGUAGCAUUUUAACCGGGAAGUAUUCUAGGUAUCGUUAUUUAUAUUUUUACCACUGGAAAGGGAUUAGCAACCAUCAAUAUUGAUUAUAGAAUAGAAUAUGAAAUUGAGUAUCUAUCAUUGUAUAUAUAAUUAAGAACAUUUAUCUAUCUCUUUCAUACAGGGGUAAGUGUCACAUAAAGGAUAUAUAAAGUAAUGAAUAGUGACAAAGAUAAUUAGUCUGAUCAGCAUAACUUAGCCACAUAAUAAAUAUGAUAAGCACCUCAAUUAGAUACUCUAGAAAGUCAUUAGCAUGGUAUUAGAACGAACUACAAGAAUAUUUCCUAAGUUAUUCUCAACUAUAUAGUCUAGAAUUAUCAUAGUUAGUGCAAGCAUACUUAGCAAUCAUUGCGAGACAAGACUACACCCAUGCAUAGUGAUAUUAGCAAGGUAAAUGAGAAACAUAGCAAUCAUUCCCCUGUAAUAAUGUUGCUCUGCCAGCCCAAUACACGAGAGGGGGACUAUAUAAGAAUCAAUGAAAGUGUCAAUAUCACGAACUACCCCGCGAUCUGGCAUAUUGGGUACAAUCACAGAUAAAUACGGUAUAAGCACCACGCCUACACAAUAUCUAUCAUUUACCCAUGGAUCCGAUGGAUAAACGCUAUACGAUCCUAAGCAUGUAUAUAGAUCCAAUCUAACUAAGCCAAGUACAUAACUAUGAUAAACUAAGAACAAUAUAAUCUUGAAUAUAAACAAGUAGAGCAAAGUCAUAAGCAAUAUAUUGAAGUAGAACAAAGUCAUAUUCAUAAUAUUGAAGAACAAAGAUGAUUAAAAGAACAAUUAGAGAAUUACCAAGAAUCCUCUUGACAGAUCCGGAAACCAAUAGAAGAUUGACUCCUUCUAGUUCUAAUCCUAUGUAGCUAUGCUAAUUUAGAUGUCUAAUUGAUGUGGUGGCUCUAGACUUGAUCAGAGGCUUCUUCUCCCUUUGAGGAAUAAUGAAUUGGGGUUGAGAGGCUUCCUCCUCUAGGGGCCAGGGGGUCUGGUUUUAUAGUCCCUUCAAGUGAAUAUGGGCCGUUGGAUCAAACCGACAUUGAUUGAACGGUUAUUCUUGAUCCUUUAGGUCGGUGGAGAUUAGUCCCGAAAGAGAGUCCUGAUCCACCUCAGAGAGGGGGCGGGCGCCCGGUGCUUGGCCCCGUUUGGCCUCCGCUUCCUUCCCGUGGCUUCUGGAGUCUUCUAGAUGUAAGAUGAUUGCACGGCACGUUGAUAUCUCUAUGUAAUCCCGACGUGUGGGCCUUUGUUCCAUAUUUCCUGAUAACCCCCUGCAUAAAUAGACAAACACCAAAACUCUUGGAAUUCUGUCAGAUAAAACCCUAAAUCUGGAUGUUGAUUUCAUUUGGAUCCUUUUCUUUGUUUAUUUGAUAAUUAAAUUUGAUACUUAAGGACGGUCAACAUCCCGGUGUUAUUCAUUGCUGCUGACGACGCAUUGGUCUAGUUUGNNNNNNNNNNNNNNNNNNNNNNNNNNNNNNNNNNNNNNNNNNNNNNNNNNNNNNNNNNNNNNNNNNNNNNNNNNNNNNNNNNNNNNNNNNNNNNNNNNNNGAUUAAGCGAACAUUAGUUGCAUAAGUGCAUUAGCCGUUCGAUCAAGUGGGAGAAUGUUGGAAUGUGAUCUCAGCUAAUCUCCAGAUUAAUCACGAAAUUAAUUAGUUAUUAAUUUAUGGUCCCACCUGCCAUAUAUAUCCAAUAAAUCAGAUUGCCACGAUGGGUGGCAGCCCUUAGAUCGUCUAGGGUUUUGGCCCCCUGGCCCACAGCGCAUUAUAUAAGCAGGGGCACCUCUAGUGCCUCCUAUGCAAAUUCCGCCAAUCCAUUCAUACCCAAACCGAUCACUAAGGCGCUGGAGGGUUCGGGAAGAUCGUCGCCCACGUUCCUCCCUACGCACGUAAUCUCAGCGGCGUCUAGAUGGCCACCGCUAUUUCGACGACUCAUGUUCAUCAUAUCUAGAGGGUUCCACAACCCUCAGUUGGUGAUACAUCAACAUCUACAUCUACAUCAAGUCUCCAGCGACACAGAUGGCAUCCUUGGACUCUGGUUGGUCUAGCACUAAUCCCCUUAGUUUUUCGCAUUAGAUAAUUAAUGGUCAUGUAGUGAUCUAAGAAUAAGAUCCUGUGCGUGAGUUAUUCAUGAUUUAUUAUGUGUUUAGAUCUAUCACAGUUAUAUCUCUGGACUAUUAGGGCAUGUUAUCGAGAGUGCCCAACGGGUAGUUGGAAGGAAAAGAAGAAACUGUUUGGUCCAGAGCUUCGAGUUUCGCCAUCUCGUCAGCGUGGUUUGGAGGAAAUUAGGAGUCAUAAUUCGAGGAGUACAGGUUCUAGGGGUCCAAAAUCAGAAGGAAAAUCUAUAACUCCGGGAAGUGGUUGCAUAGGGGGUAGUGGUUCAGUUUCUGAGAAGACAGUAAAGGGAAGUGCUCAAUUGGGAGAUGAAACCUUGACCCCAGAGCUACACUUUGUGCAGCCUGCAGAUGCAAAGAAACUAAUUUUGAUUAUAGAUACUGAGGAGAGGGAUGGGCAUAAGGUGACGGAAGAGGAACAAAAUGUGUGGGGGGGGGAGGAGACUGGACAAUUGAUAGAGAAGGAAUCAUUGACAGCUGAACAAAGAGUGGAGUCCAAUAAAGAUGAUUGUACAUAUGAGGACAGAAAUGACAUCAUGAGAAUUACUGAGACUUCUACAGCCCAGUUUGGUGACACUUUUGCGAAAGUGCAGGAGAUGGAGAUAGGUGAUUUUGGUCUUACUGUUGAGCACAAUCAAAGUAAAAAAUAGAAUAUUAGGAAAAGGCAUGUAAAAAUAACAAGAAUCAAAGAACCGUGAGGAAGGUGAAAAGAGCAAAUCGGAAAACCAUAGAGGCUGUUAACCACAAUCAUGUAAUGAACAUGAACUGUGAGAACAUGGGAGAAGGGGAGCAAAGUUUAAAACGACAGAGGAUGGAAGUGAUGUGGAGGGAUGAGGAAGGUGAUGUGGUCGAGGUUGAAACUGAUCCAAUUCUUAAUUAUGAGGUGGGGCUCCAGAGCAGUUCCGCCAAAUAAAAUGAGGAUCAUAGCAUGGAACUGCCGAGGACUAGGGAAUGCCUCGGUAGUUCAUCGGCUUCCGGAUGUCCAGAAGCGAGAAUCCCCUAAUAUCCUUUUCGUUUCUGAAACUAAAAUGGAUAAGAGAGGGAUGGAAAGAUUUCAAUGGUUUGUUGGCAUGCCAAAUAUGAUGGUCAAAGAUUGUAGGGGGAAUAGUGGAGGUUUGGCCUUGUUUUGGAGAAGGGCAGUGGAUGUUGUGAUUAGGAGCCUAUCUAAAUACCAUAUUGAUGCAACUGUACAAGAGGAGAGAGUAGAAUGGAGAAUUACAGGUGCGUAUGGUGAUAAAAAAACAGAAGAGAAGGCGAAAACUUGGCGUCUGUUGAAACUUUUGUAUAAUCAAUAUACAAAACCGUGGCUAUGCCUUGGAGACUAUAAUGAACUAUUAUUUGGUUGUAAGAAGGUGGGAGGUCAGCCUAGGUCAGCAGCAUGUAUGGAACGUCUAAGAAAUACCUUGGCUGACUGCAAUCUCGGGGAUUUGGGGUUUGUAGGAGUCAUAUUUACAUGGAGGAAUCAUCAUCAUAAGGCUGAAGGUUAUAUAAAGGAAAGGCUGGACCGAGCUGUGGCAAAUAUGGAAUGGAGGAAUCUUUUCCCACUAGUGCGUGUAGUGAAUGGUUAUCCUCGACACUCAGAUCAUAGGCCUUUAAUUGUGGAAUGUGGGCACAGGGAACCAAUGCAGUUUUCUACUGUCAAAGAUUUUUCCCUCAAAUUUGAGGCCAAAUGGCCUGAGGAGGAGGAUUGCCCUGGCGGUGGAGAGGGCUUGGGCUGAAGCUUUGGAGUUUGGGGCUGUUGAGAUGGUGGAGAUUCAAAAGAAGAUUCUGGGUGACCUGAAGGAAUGGGACAGGAAUGUGCUAGGAGAAUUGGAAAAAAUAAUUAGUAGGGUAAAGAAGGAGCUUAAAUGUUACAGGAGAAGUAGAAUUAACCAAGAAAAUGUACAUAAGGAGCACGUGCUAAGAUUCAAAUUGGACAUUGCAAGAACAACUCCAUAUUUAUUGGAAACAAAGAGCCCAUCCCUUAUGGCUGACAAAAGGUGAUCGAAAUACAAAAUAUUUUCAUACAUGUGCUUCAGAGAGGAAAAGAAGGAAUUACAUUAGAUUCCUUAAGGAUGAUGAUGGCGCUGUGGUGGCGGGGAAUGCCUUGAAACCUUUUAUUACUAACCACUAGAGAAAUCUUUUUACUUUGUGUGCUGUUGACAGGAUUGAUGAGGUUCUCCAUGCAGUGAAGAAUCGAGUCUCCUCAUCUAUGAAUGAGACCUUGCUGAAAACCUUCACAGGCGAAGAGAUAGCGGAAGCACUCGACGGGAUUGGGGAUUUCAAAGCCCUAGAGUCAGAUGGAAUCCCCUCUAUCUUCUACAAACGUUUUUGGGGGCUGAUGGGUGAUCAAGUGAAAGAGGUUUUAGUUGUGCUGAAUGGAGGACAUAUGCCUAUGAAAUGGAAUGAAAUGAUUAUUGGCCUGAUCCCAAAGGUCAAAAAUCCAAUCAAGGUGAAAGAUCAUAGGCCUAUUAGUCUUUGUAAUGUGCUAUACAAACUCAUUUCAAAAGUUCUGGCCAACCACUUGAAAAAGAUCCUCCCUGAUAUUAUUUCUCCCUCCCAAAGUGCCUUUGUUCCUGGCCGGCUGAUUACUUAUAAUGUGAUCCUAGCCUAUGAAUUGACACAUUACCUAAGGAAUAGAAGAAAGGGCAAAACUGGGUUGGUUGCCAUCAAGUUGGACAUGAGCAAAGCAUAUGACAGAGUUGAAUGGUCUUUUUUGGAAAAGAUUAUGAGGAAGAUGGGUUUCAGCACAAAGUGGGUGGAUUUGGUUAUGAAAUGUGUGUCCACUGUCACUUAUAAAGUCAAGACAAAUGGAGAUUAUACAAAACAGAUCUUGCCCCAACGUGGACUACGUCAAGGCAAUCCUCUUUUUCCGUACCUUUUUAUUAUAUAUGUGCUGAGGGUCUUUCUGGCCUGAUCAGGGAAGCGGAGAGGAAGAGAGACAUUGAAGGUAUUCAAGUAUGUACAGGAGCACCUUGAGUAAGCCACCUUCUCUUUGCUGAUGAUACUUUGAUCUUGCUAAAAGCCACAGUUAGAGAAGCAAGAUGUUUGCAGCAGGUCUUAGAAUUAUAUGAAGAUGUGUCAGGCCAGAUGGUAAAUAAAGACAAGACUGCAAUUAUGUUCAGCCCCAACACUCCACAACAUAGCAGAGAUUAUAUCUUGUCAGAGCUGAGGAUUACUCAUGUUGCAAGUAAUGAAAAAUAUUUGGGUUUGCCGGUUUACAUUGAGAAGUCCAAGAAACGUAUGUUUGAAUACAUUAAACAAAGAGUGUGGGUCCGUAUUCAAGGUUGGCAAGAGAAAUUGCUUUCUAAAGCGGGGAAGGAGAUUAUGGUAAAGACAGUAGCACAAGCAAUACCUACAUAUGCUAUGUCCUGUUUUGAUCUAACUAGGAGAUUAUGUGAAGAUAUUUCUUCUAUGAUUGGACGAUACUUGUGGAGUCAACUCGACAAAACAAAUAAAACUCAUUGGGUGUGCUGGGAGAUGCUAACUAAUUCUAAAAGCAGAACCUGCUAGGGUUUUCGCCCAAUCUUUCGAUGAGAGGUGCUGGGUAACUCGAUUGGUGAAAGGAGUUGACGUUCACGGCCCGACUACAGCCCUCCAAGGCCGCGCCUUAGCAACCGAUACACCACCUCCAAUGGUUGUCACGAUCUUGUGGAGCGCAAUAACCGGCCACUAGGGCACUCGUCCUGCAAGCAAUCGAAGAACUAGCAAGAACAAGUAGAACAAGUACUGAAUUACUAGAUGUAAACAAAGGUUUCGAACUCAAUCUCCAAUGAAGUGAGGUUCCGAAAACAAGAAGACAGGCGGCUGGAUCAGUACGCGCGUUUACAAGAAAGUAGCGAAAGCUAAACUUGAUCUAAUCAAAACCCAACUGUGUGGCGGCAGCUAUAGGAACCUUAAGUACACUAACGGACGUUCAAAGGAGGUCUAGGGUCAUGGUUUAACCUAGGACACGUCCCUAAUGGACCCAACUUGAUAUAUGGACCAUCAGCCCAAAAUAAGGUGACGCAACACCCCAAGACCUCUCAACGGUAAUUGGAUCUUUGCCACUACUGCCUAACAGAUAUUGUCGUGGGACUGGACUCAUAUGAAAGUAGACUUUAUAAGCUUUCCAACAAGUCCUGAAGCACCCCAAUCCGAAUCAGUAUGCAACCGUGGUGGCGGUCAUAAUUUGGCGCUUUGCUGCAGUCCGAAUCCAGCGAACGUGAGUCCUUGUCCCUUUUGGUUUUCUCCUUGGUUCCUAAUCAAAACAAAAGUGCACAUGUUUCCAAGGUCUAAACAAGAUGGACAAGAGCUUAAGAAGGAACUCACUUGAUGAUUAAGUUGACAAGCACGAGCACGAGUAAGAGGACCAGCAAAAGGUACUGGUGUCGGCGGCGUGGAUGCAUCGCCGGUGUUGAUGUCCUCAUCAUCCUCUCCUUCAUGCAUUUGAGUCGUCCUCGACUCAAACUCAUCCUCUUCACCCAAAUAUGGCCUCAAAUCUGCAAUGUUAAAUGUGGGACUAACCCCAAAAUCUGCAGGCAAUUCAAGCUCAUAUGCAUUGUCAUUAACUUUCUUUAGCACUUUAAACGGUCCUGCAGCCUAGGUAACAACUUGGAUUUGCGCAGUUUCAGAAAAUCUAACUUUUCUCAAAUGCAACCAAACUAAUUCUCCAGGUUCAAAUUUUAAUUCCUUUCUUCCUUUAUCACCCGCAAGCUUAUACUUAGCAUUCAUACGCUCUAUGUUUUGCUUAGUUGUUUCAUGCGGUUUCACAAUCAAUUCAGCACGCUUAGUAGCAUCAAAAUUUACUAUUUUAGAAGAUGGCAAACGCACUAAAUCUACCGAAGCUCGAGACAGCAAACCAUAAACAAUCUGAAAUGGGCAUAUUUUUGUAGUAGAAUGCAGCGAUCGAUUAUAAGCAAAUUCAGUAUGAGGCAAACAUUCUUCCCACAUUUUAAUGUUCUUCUUUAAAAUAGCUCUUAACAUAGUUGACAAAGUUCUAUUCACGAUCUCAGUUUGACCAUUAGUUUGGGGAUGACAUGUAGUAGAAAAUAAAAUUUUAGUCCCCAAUUUAGUCCACAAAGUCUUCAAAAAAUGACUAAGAAAUUUAGCAUCACAAUCAGAAACAAUUGUGCUGGGCACACCAUGUAAGUGACCAAUUUCUUAAAAGAACAAAUCAACAAUAUAUGUAGCACCAUCAGUUUUAUGACAUGGUAUGAAAUGUGCCAUCUUAAAAAAUCUAUCAACAACCACAAACACACUAUCACGUCCCCUCCUAUUCCUUGGUAACCCCAACACAAAAUCCAUAGAUAUAUCCUCCCAUGGGGCGUUAGGAACAAGUAGAGGUAAGUACAAACCGUGUGGAUUUGACCGUGACUUUUCCUUUUGACAUGUUGUGCAUCUAGCAAUAAACCUUUCCACAUCUCUUUUCAUCUUUGGCAAAAAAAAUGACCAGCAAGUAUAUCCACUAUCUUUUUGGCUCCAAAAUGGCCCAUCAAGCCACCUCCAUGUGCUUCCUGCAACAACAACAAACAAACAGAGCUAGCUGGAAUGCAUAGCUUGUUAGCUCUAAACACAAACCCAUCAUUGUGGGGGUAUAAACCCCUAUACCCUUACGGCUAUACUUGGGCCAGGAGGCUUGGUCCAUUACGAGAUAAGUUCGAGGCUUGAUCCGACUGUUCGGAGUUUCGCGUAAGGAAACAAGACAUGGAGAUCAAGCAGAAUUCUAGUCGGUUAGAAUAGGAAUUGAUAUUGAGCUAUCUAUGGCAAUUGUAACCGACUAGGAUUAGUUUCCAGAUCUGUAACCCUGCCCUCCGGACUAUAUAAGGAGGUGCAAGGGACCCCCCUUAGGACACAUUAUUCUCAAUCCAAUACAAUCAGACGCAUGACGUAGGUAUUACGCCCACACGGCGGCCGAACCUGGAUAAAAAGCUUGUCCGUGUCUUGCGUCACCAUUGAGUUCGUAGUUUGCGCACCGUCUACCGAUAAACUACUACCGUGGGUAUACUCCAAGGUAGACUGCCGACUAGCUUUCAUCGACAAUCAUUAACGAUAAAUUUGUUCCAUCCUUUUCCAUCUUUACAAUGCAGCAACACGUCUCUAAAAUCAGCAUCAUGAACAUAUUGGUCUUUAAUUGUUUCUAAUUCAAAAAAACUUGUAAUCAAGUUGAUUCAGCAAAGUAUAUCUCCCUGACAAAGCAUCAGCAAUAAUAUUCUCCUUCCCUUUCUUGUGCUUAAUAACAUAAGGAAAUGAUUCAAUAAAUUCUACCCAUUUAGCAUGUUUACGAUUCAGUUUUCCUUGACUACGAAUAUGUUUCAAAGAUUCAUGAUCAGAAUGUAGAACAAACUCUUUGGGCCACAAAUAAUGCUACCAUGUCUCUAAUGUUUGAACAAGAGCAUAGAGUUCUCUAUCAUAAUUAGAAUAAUUGAGAACAGGCCCACUCAAUUUCUCACUAAAAUAUGCAACAGGUUUACCAUCUUGUAACAAAACACCACCCAAACCAACUCCACUAGCAUCACUUUCAAGCUCAAAAGUCUUACUAAAAUCUGGAAGUCGUAGAAGAGGUGCAUGGGUUAGGUUAUAUCUGAACAUGUUAAAAGAAUUCUCUUGUGGUUUACCCCAUUCGAAAGGCACUCCCUUCUUUGUAAGCUCAUUGAAUGGUGUAGCAAUGGUGCUAAAAUCCUUCACAAAACGGCGACAAAAUCCUGCAAGUCAUAGGAAACUCCGCACCUAGGUGAUAGGCUUUCGUACAGGCCAUCCCUGUAUAGCUUCCACCUUGGCUUGGUCAACCUCAGUUCCCUGUGGAGUCACAACAUAGCUAAGAAAAGACACUCGAUCGGUCCAAAACAUGCACUUCUCAAGGUUAUCACAUAAACGUGCAUCACGUAGAGCAUUAAAAACAACAUGUAAAUGAUCAAGAUGUUCAUCCAUAGAUUUGUUGUAAAUUAAUAUAUCAUCAAAAUAGACUACAACAAAUUUUCCAAUGAAAGCUCACAAAACCUCGUUCAUUAGUCUCAUGGAAGUACUGGAAGCAUUAGUAAAUCCAAAUGGCAUUACUAACUACAAUCAUGGUUUGUCAAUGGUAGACGCUCGCACGUAGCGACCGCCCUUCUGACCACGGAGGCCAGGCCUAUCCACCGUUGGUGUCGCCUCUCAGUUUAGCCUCCCGCCGCCCGCCGCCCAUGGAGUCCAGGUCCUCGGUGUCGUCCGCUUGGUCCGCUACAGAGGCAAUUCAGCCGGAGUCACGAAUGUUGCGGGGGAGGCGUUCGUCGUGGAGUCACGAGUCACCUUGCAGCUUCUGACCAUGGAGGCCAGGCCCAUCCGCCGCCGGCGUCGCCUCUCAGUUUGGCCUCCCGCUGCCCACCGCCUGCGGAGGCUAGGUCCCUGGGGUCGUCCGCUCGGUCAGCUGCGGGGGCAAGGUGGCCGUAGUCGUGAAUGCCGCAGGCGAGGCGACUCACCCUCGCCUUGGCGGUUCUUGCGUGACGUCGUCAAGCCGAUGUUGGAGACAGAGAUGAAGGGGAGGGAGACGUUGAGCGGCGCUGCAGGGAAGGGAGAGAAGCCCUGUCAUGGGCUGUGGCGGUGGCUUCGGCUGCGUGUCGAUGACCAAAACCAAUUCAUGGCGUCUCCGAACCUUCUAUGUCGUCUCCUCUCAGAUACAAGUUCUGGGCGUCGGACUCGGUCUUCGACGUGUUUGAGGAGGACGAGCCGGUGGAGCUGAGGCUAUCCACACAUUGUUCAUCGAGGACGCCAUGGAUGUGGCUUCACACUUGACCAACUCGCCAAAGCCGAACAAGCUUUGGACUCAGGUAAGACUCAAGCCUCCAUUGAUCUCCAUCUUCCGAAGUCCAUCGUCUCCAGGAUGGUUCAGAAAAAGCUCGCCAGAAAGCCUUGGCAUGGACCCCUACCCGACCCUCGCGUUUCCCCAUCGAGAACGCUGGGUGAUUUCAUUGCCAAGGCCUCUCACACAAGUUUGAUUGCCCGGAGUGGCUCGUCGUCUUUGUCACGUUCACCAGCAAGGGUCUUUCCACCAUGGAAGGAUGUUGUUUCAAAAAGCACCGUAAAUUCGAAUUGCUAGGGUUCUGAUCUGCAAUUUCCUCCGCUUACUCACGUGACAUCACCGACUUCAUUCGAGCGUGUUGCUCACGCUGCAGAGGAGAGAAAGGUUCAAGGACGUCCUAGGCUUCCAGACCAGGUUCAACUUGGGUCUGGGAAUUUCUUUCGGCCCAUGAAGGGACUUUGUGCCCUUUUCGCUCGCAUAGGCACCAAAUGCAGGUGCGUUCCGAGGCCGCCGCCAUCGUUCUCUCCAGUAUGUCGUCGUUCGUUUGCAGACAAAAUUCGUGUGGGGAAGGCAAUGGCUGCGCAUAGAUCCGAUGGUGCUAGAGGUUUUGGCGAGCGAGGUGGAGGCAGGGGUGCAUCCUUCAAUCUUGGCUUCCGUCUAGGAUUUGAUCCGGGGUUCGGCGGACGAGGCUGCGGUCGCGACCACUUCCUACAUGGUCGAGGGCGCAGACAUGCUGGUCACAGUGGCUUUGGCUACAACAGCUGUGGCUCGGGCUAUCAAGGAGUGGCUGUAUUGGAAGAUCCUAUGGCAAAAACUAUGGUGGUGGAUGAGGGCGUGGCGGGUGGCCAAGUCACGGGCAGCCUCAUCAUCAAUCGGGCAUGGCGUAGAACAACUUGGGAGGUGGGCAUCCUCCCCAGCAGCCAAACAACAACCCGGCAACCAUCUAGGGAGGGGUGUCGCAGAUGGCGGAUAUGGGCAGAUCCCCCUCCCUACUACCCAAGGGGGGGUGCUGCAUCCUAACUUUGCCAUACAAGGAAGGCUUUAGUACAUGGAGGUCACAGAGCAGGGAAAGGCCAAGCCUAAGCUUGGUGCUGCUCCAAUGACCACGGGGGCGGCUCUUCCACCUGCACCUGCAUCGUCACUGGCUCCCGCAACUACAACGACACAAGUAUCUCCAGGAACUUACAGAAACUCACAAGGCUGCUGUCCCACCAAGCACAAAUUCCACAGGGACUAGUGAUGUUCCUGAGACUUCUAACCAUGGAGGGCAAAAAAGCAAGGGUAAACCAUUUUGUUAUCGUUGCCAUUCUAAAGGUCAUACCAUACAUGAAUGCACUAUGUCUCUCAGCUGUGACAUCUCUUGUGGUGAUCAUGUUACUAAGGUUUGCCCAAACAUGAAAAAGAUGCACACUACUGCUAUACCUUGUGGUUAUGCUAUGGAGGGUUUGGGUUUUUAUUUUAUUCCAGCCGCUGAGAACCCCAAGGUAAACUUAGUGGAAAAAUUAGUUGUGGUACAUGUUUUGGAAGUUUCUCUUACUGUCGAGGGUGUCAAUAAGGGGUACCCCAACCAAUGCUCAUAACGAGAGGACCCGUACACAAAUCGAGGCCCCUGACUCGACGCCCCUGCUCGCACGCGCGACUACCAAAGCACGAUGCCAACCAUAGCCUCGAACACGGAAAAGGGGUCGUGCGAAUCGACAGAGGCUCGACUGGGCAGCGACCGUCGAAUACGGAAGUGGCUCGUACGAAUUGAUAGGCCUCGAGUGCAAGGACGCCGUCCACCGCCUGACGCAAGUACGAGGACUGGGGCAUUUAAUGCGCGUGCCGUGUUCUCACCUAACCCGACAGUCACGAGAAACGUGAUAGGGAGCGAGCACCCAUCCAAUCCCCCCUUUUCACAGCUUUAUCCCUUCAGAUGAGCCAGAGUACGGCUGAGCACAGUGAAACAGUCGUGAUGUCACAUCACGACCCCCUCUAGGCAUCCAAAGUCAGUGCAUCGAUCAGCAAGGCCACGCGCGGUACCAGACCCUCGAGCGAAUAUGUUCCUUCCUAGAGAAGAGUUAGGCGGCGAAAAACAGCACCUCAACCACUCUGGACGUGACUACUGCCACGACAUACAGGUGUGCCCAUGGUUAGGCCAAUCCAAGGCGACGCACAGGAGCCAAAUUUAGGAGCAUGCACAAUCAUCACCAAAGUACCAAGUAACAAGACAGCUCGAGGCCACGCCAGUACGGAGGCCUCAAGUAGGUUAGUGCACCACGCCCCUAUCGACCCCUAUUUUAUUACCUACGCCAUGUAACCUAGGUCUCCCCUUGGAACUAUAAAAGGGGAGGCAUAGAAAAGGAUGAAAAUGGGACAUAGGUAGAACAACAACCAUAUGUCCUUCUCAGGGCUACCACUCUGCCAGGGAGUCCAGGAAUUUUAACUCGCCUGCCUUUUGUCUUACGCCAAUGGUCCCCCGCACACCGCACUUCCUCCGGUAGUGCGCACUUUAUACUUGCCGGUCUUCCGGCCUGAGUCAUACUACUAGGCUUCGCGGUCGGAACGAGUUAUCCGGCCAACUAAGUGUCACGCAUACGUUCAACAUGACAAGAGGACGUACAACGAUCGGUCUUUAGCUGCCACAGACGGAGUUACUACAACCUUGCAAAACUCCGCCCGGCUUAAGUCAUUUUAAUCAGGUUCCUUCCACGAUAGCACAUAUAGUCAAUCGUGAUCCGACACAACCCUAUAUCGCGCAGGUGACAGGAUAUCACCCGACCUCUACCGAUUAAAGCAUGGCUAAGCUGCUACUCGAUCCUAACUCUAUAACCAGGUAGUGGUAGGAUAUCUGGACAAGGAUUGAGUAAAAUGCAGCAAGGGUUUCAUCACAACUCCUAUACGUAAAUGCAUCAAUAGGUAUAAUGUAAUCAAGUAAGCUUUUGAAAUUAAAGUGGUGGGCUUAAGAUGCUCCGAGGCUUGCCUUUCACGAACGAUGCGGGCUCGUGGUUCAGGCACUCAACCUCCUCUUCGGGCUCCUCGAGUCCGGCUUGCUGGACCUCCACCUCGGGUUGACCUCCUGGCCUUCGGAGUUCACUUGGAGCUCGAACGUAGCUGUCGCAUCCGGUGCACCUAAUGCAUGCAUGAUAAGUAAGAAUGGGUGCCUACUAGAUGAGGAUGAAUGCUUGAUAACGAAAUUGACGCUUCACUGGACACUCAUUUACUGAGUAAACUUCUAAGAUUAACUCACAAAGGAUAACUAAUUAACUUAGUGGGACUUGGCAAGUCAAACUAUAAACCGCAAGCAUCACAUAACAGAACAGCUCAGUAAACAGGUCAUAACUAUUGCUAUGAAGAUCUAACAAACAUAAAUGAGGACAUUCUGGAAAGCUUAUGAAAUUGUCUACAUUUCAUAUUUAGACAUUACAGCAAGAUUCAUAAGUUAAAUAAGUUAAUUGAACAAAGUUCCAGGUUCUGUCCCAGAAAAACAGAAAGCACCUAUUUCUGGAACCCAACUUGGAAAAGCCAUAACGUCAAAACUACUAGACCAAAUGAUCCCAAAUUUAAACCACAGCUAGUUCAUAAAGUUUACAACAACUUUGAUUCAGACAAGUCUUCCAGAAGACCAAGUUAUGAAUAAGUAAAGGUUGAAUUAUUUCUUUGCUGUCGAGAGCAGCUAUAAACCUUCAAUUAAUUAUUUAAUGACAUAGCCAAAACAUAAUCAGUACCAACCACAGGGCUUAUAAGCACAAGCAUAUCAUAAGACAACCAGAACAUCAUAUGUUAACCCCUAAAAAUUUAAUAACAAAGCAUUUAUUAAUUUAAUUCUAUAAAGGGACAUAAUUACAAGAUACCAGCAAGAGUGCUGAGAAAAAUCUACAAAAAUUACAGAAGCACAAGCAUGGCAUCUUGACCUUACCAUAAAAAUUUCAGACCAAUUGCACAUGCCAAAUUUAAGAUAAGCAUUUAACAUGUGACAAGGUGCUUAUUUAAGAAAUUAAGAAACAUGGCCUAUAUAGUGUCAAACAACAGAUUUCAGAUUAUUUACAUGUCACUAAUACAAUAAGCAAGUUUGAUACCAGAGUAGAGCACUAGCAUAAGCACCAAUUAUUUACUGUGAUUUAAAUAAGAAAACAAGCCAUAAAACCAACAUAAAUUACAUGUCACAGAUAUAGUACUCCAAAGUUCAUAAAAUAUUUAUCAUAGCAUUCUCAUAACACUCUGAGCCUAGCAUAAAAUUUUUAGAACAAAAAGACCAGUAUAACAAGAGAUAUUAAUUUAUACAUGAACAACAAGAUUAAAUUCUAAUAAUUAUUUUCCCCAUAAAACAUGGUACAUUUCAUAUUUUUAAUAAAAACUAGCCAUCUCAAAGAAUCUCACAAAAUUGGUUUCACAAUUUUUGGAUCACAGGAACCAGAGAUAUGAAUUUUUGCAAGAAAGCCAAAAAUCUGGAUUUGAAUAAAAGAAAGGAGAAGACCGUUGAGUCACUGACAACGGGUCCCAUGCGUCAGUGUCCCAGAGAACAGAGGACACCUUCGCCAGCGAAUGCUCGCCGACGGGGAGCUUCUCAGGUGGAUCCAAGGGCACCAGCGUGCUCCUGGAGUGAUUCCGCACCGAUGGAGGUAAGUGGCGCUAGGGUUUCAAUGACGGAGAGGGGUCGCCGUCGGCCAUGGCGACACGGCGGAGCUACCCCGGCUUACGCCGGCCAUCUCCGACCAGUAGAGCGUCGGGGAAGGGUGGCUUAAGCACUAGUGAGUUAGCGUGGAGCUUUCUAGGUAGAAACGCCUAACCCUAAUGGCUCCGGUGAGCCUGCUCACGUGCGAGGUGCUCGUCGGCGGUGAGCACGACGGUGCGGCGGCCGUGUUCCCGCACGACGGUGGUGCCUCAGCCGGAAUGGCGUGGCGUGGACCGGCACUGAGACCUAAGCAGACCUUAACGCGACUCAGAAGGGAGAAAGGAGGCAAGGAUGGAGCAGCGGCGAGGAUCGCCGGAAUCGGGGUCACGACGGUCGUGAACCCGACGACGAGGAACUCGCGAAAUGUCGCUCACCUCAGGAAGAUCUCGUCCAACCGAGGGGUGGAGAAGAUGGAGGAGCUCAAGGCAAACUCGGAGACGCUCGGAGGCGAGGCAAGACGCAGAGGCGAGGGCGCGAGGAGCUCGCGAAGCUCACGGCGGCAAUGGCGACGGCGCUUUCGCCUGGCAGAGUCGUGAGAGAGAGGCAGGGAGAGAGUGGACAGGCGUUGAGUGAGUGCGGGGUGUCGUGGCGUCUGUUGACGGUCCUUAAUGCUCACAUUUAACUGUCAACUAAUCAUGGAAAAGGAUCCAUAUGCAUCCAACACCCAGACUUAGGGUUUUAUCUGACAGAAUUCCACGAGUUUUGGUGUUUGUCUAUUUCUGCAGGGGGUUAUCAGGAAAUACGGAAGAAAGGCCCAAACAUCGGGUUUACAUAGAGAUAUUAACGUGCCUCGCAAUUUUCUAUCAUCUAGAAGACUCCAGAAGCCACGGGAACGAACAGGAAGCCGAGAGGGCUCAGGGACAGGGCGCCCGCCCAAGUCCUGAGGGCGCCCGCCCACCUAUGUUGCCCAAUCAGAGUCCAAUUCGGGGAUCACACUCCACCGACCUAAAGGAUCAAGGAAAACCGUGCGAUUAAUGUCGGUUUGAUCCAAUUGCCCAGAUUCAUCUGAAAAGACUAUAUAAGCAAGGCCCCCUGGCCCCUGGAGAUCAUACCUCUUCUACAGAAUCAAAGCUAGGGUUUCAAUUCUUCAUCCAAAUAGAGAGGAUCCCUCUAGUUCUUCUAGUUCUAGUUCUAGUUCCUCUAGUUGUAGUUCAUCUAGUUCUAGUUCCUCUAGUUCUAGUUCUAGUUCGUUCUAGUUGUAAUCUAGAAAAUAGGGAGAGAGAAGAGGAGAGCGGAGGAGGAGCCGGAUCUGUCGGAUCUUCCUCAACAUUAUUCUUUUGCAGCA